rnacentral:lncRNA from 1 species
CAGAGCAUGGUGCUUCCACUGGUACGUGGGAGGGGGACUCCCUACUGCGGAGAGCCCCCGGGGGGUGUACAGCCCCGCCCUGACACGUGGCUUGCACGGCAGGGCUAGAUGAGGUGUAUCUGGGAACUCAUGAGCCAGCGCGGGACUCACGAGACCCUACCUCAAGGCAGGUUGCGCCUGGUCUUGAUUCUCGUUUGCUGUAGUGAUCCUGCGAGGUGGUUAGUCACCUGCGCCGAGCGAAUCUCCUGAGGUUAUUGCAUGAGAAAGCAAGGCACCAACGGCCCCAGGAGGUGACGUGAACGGGGCCGGCCCGCCAGACAGAGCUCAGCCGUUGGAUUUAUCGACGCUGCAGGGAUGGGCCCGAGCACAGACGUCGUGCCUAACCUUCUCACACAAAGGGCCCUGAAGAAAAGACGGUCGGCGCGCGGUUCCCGCAGGGAGGCGACAAUCAAGUAGGUGAUAAUCAUAGGUAGAUCAAGCAUGGAAAGCAUACUUGCUUAAGUAAAUGCAGGGAAGAUACAUGCCACUGGGUCAGGCCUGAGUGGCUUGGGGAUGACGCAGCCUGAGGGGCGCCCCCAGCAAGGUAAGCUAAAGACAUGAAAAGGGAUACAUGCCACGGGGACGGACCCACGUGGCCUGGGAAUGAUGCAGCCCAGGAGGCGCUCCCAGCUAAAUAAUCUUGGGAAAUGUCACCUGGUUCUAUUGAUGAAGGGAUGUUGGGGCAACUGAAGGUAUGCGGCGAAGGGGUCGCUCCUCACGAGCCACCCGGGCCCUGAGCCUCGGGAGGCUCCGGGGGUCCAGGCGGUUCCUUGAGGACCGUCUCCAUCUCCGCCGGGACGGCCUGGUGCCUGGCCUCCUGAGUCACCAGCGCGCGCCGCAAGUUGCGCUGAUAGGCAGACGCCACGCUCGGCAAGCCAAAAGGCAUGCGAACGUAGCUGUGCGGUGGGCCCUCGCAGCGUCCCAUGCGCGAAGGCCAGAAGGGCUCCUGAGACGCGGCUCUGUUGAGCCCUGGGACGUCGAUGCAGACGCGCAGCCCGGCAUCCUCGCCUGGAUGGGGAGCUGUGCCUGGUGAGCGGCGGUCGCCACACACGGCCCUUGCGUCUUGCAGUUCCUGAGUGGUCUUGGUGAUGAACUCCUGAGCAGUGGGCGCUCCUCGCCCUGUGUUCUCCUGAGGGAAACGUGUCAUGAAGCACGCCUCCAAGUGGUGCCCGAGCGCCUCCCUCGUGAUGUUGGCAAGGUCUGAGGCCCUCCAGAAGAGAGCUCCCGAGCCCUGCCCGAGAAGGGCGCCGGGCGCGCUUUCCUAUGCGAUGGAGGGAGGCGCCCCAGGUGCGGGCACUGAUCCUGAUGAGGUUCCACUCGCGACGCCACCCUCCUGAGGUCCUGCGCGGAGCAGCUGCUUCUUCUUCUUGGGGGUGGCCUCAGGAGGGCACUCGCUCUUGCUGUCGGGGUCGUCGAUUGUUGCAGCUUGGAAGGCACACUCGAGGGAGCACACCGCAUCUCUUUCUUCGUACGGGACUGUGAUGAUUCCGCCGCUUCCUGGCAUCUUGAGAACAUUGUAGCCGUGAUGGGUCACCGCCAUGAACUUGGCCAGGGCCGGAUACCCGAGGAUGGCAGACGGAUGUGUGUGACGUCGAAGUAGAUGAGCUCGGUGCGGUAGUUGUUGCAUUCUCCGAAGGUGACGGGAAGGCGGACCUGCCCGAUCGGGGUAGUGGAGCCAUUGGUCACUCCUGAGAAAGGCUUGGUGGGUUGAAGCUGGUCAUACGGCACUUGGAGGUUGUCGAACGUACCGACGGACAGGACAUUGAGCCCUGCGCCGCCAUCGAUGAGAGUCUUGGUGACUUGCACGUUGCUGAUGACUGGUGAACAAAGCAUCGGGAGGGCGCCAGCUGUAGCCGCGCACUUGAGCUGAUCUGCCGAGCUGAACGUGAUGGCGCACUUGGACCAUCUGAGCGGGCGCGUGGCCUCGAGCUUGGGGAGGACUGCAUUCACUUCACGAGCAAGAUGUUUGAAGAUACAUUGCGAGGUUGGGGCUUGAGCUCCGCCCAAGAUGCAGGCGAUAGCACGCGGCUCCUGGAAGCCCCCAGCCCCCUCGUCUUGAUGGUGGCCGUCAUUCCUUCUCGGUGGUGGCGGUAAUGGAGGAAUACCGGCGUUGCCCUGAGGACGAUCCUCACGAGGCUGAUCCCUACAGGCGCCCUCGCGAGGCUGAUCCUGCCAGCAGUCCUCACGAGGCCGGUCGUGCCACUCCUGGCGCGGGCCACGGUUAUCCCAGCGUCCGCCACCAUGUCCUCCUCCUCGGCCGUAGCCCCGGUCAUUGCGCUCGGGGCAUCGACCAAAGCGUCCUUCUCGAAUGGCUCUGAGCUCUUGACAGUCGCUGGUGUUGUGGCUAUGCAGGUUAUGAAAGGCGCAGAAUAGUCGGCUGCUCUUGGAUGACUCGGGCUGGUCUCUGUCGCGCUUGGUGUCUCGCUCCGCCGCGAGCACGGCUGCUCCCUUGUGCUUCAUGUCCUUGGCCUUGGCUUUCUUCUCCUCCGGGUCCGCAGCCGGGAGCUCGAGGAGGGAGAGGCGCCCCUCCUCAGCUCUUGCGCACUUGGUCGCCAGGUUGAACAGCUCCAGAAACAUGCACAGCUCCUCGUGGAUGGCGAGCUCCUUCUUCAUCUUGACGUCGCGGACGCCAUCAGAGAACGCAGAGAUGAUGGCCUCGCCCGUCACCUUGGGGAUCUUGAGGCGAACGUUGUUGAAGCGCUGGAUGUACUUCUGGAGGGUCUCUCCUGGUUGUUGCUUGACGCGGCGUAGGUCACCCGCGGCCGGUGGGCGGUCGCGAGUGCCUUGGAAGUUGGCAACAAAGCGGUUGCGCAUCUCGUUCCAGGAGGAGAUCAAGCCUGGUGGCAGGUUCAGGAGCCAGGAGCGGGCACCAUCCUUGAGAGCCAUGGGGAACCAGUUCGCCAUGACUUUCUCGUCGCCGUUGGCCGCCUCGAUGCUCAGCUCGUAGAGCUGCAGGAACUCCGUGGGGUCGGGGGUGCCGUCGUAGCGAGGAGGCAGAUCCGGCUUGAACUUGCCCGGCCAGGCGAUGCUAUGCAGCUCAGGGGUGAAGGCGCGGCAGCCGGCCGUGGUCACCGGGGCUCUGUGCUGGUGGAGAACAUGUCCUUGAUGAGGUCCGCGCACCGCCAUUGCAGGCGGCACGCGGUCUUGCCGUGGUGGCGCAGGGAGCGCGGGAGCGUUUUCUCGUGGCCGAGGGACUUCUUGGCAGCUUCUUUCAUCUUGCGCGGGCACCGAACGCGGCAGGUCGCGCCGUGGGGCCACGCGCCUUGGCGCCAAGACUCCGUCUUGGGGCAGAGGUGGUGGAGGCGCUCCGUGGGCUACGUCGCCCGUAGCCGGCGGUGGACGAGGUAGCGAGAGGGACGGUGCAGGGGAGCCCCCUGCGGCGCUGACGAGCUCGGCGAUGUGGUCCAACCAGUCCUCGUAGAGGUCGUCGACUGGGCGGUAGCGCAGGAGCUCGUGCACCAUGAGGAGAGCGGCCCUCGCGUGCGUGGGAGCGCGGCGAGCGUGGGACGACGAACCAACUGGAGUCAGCGGCGGAGUGGCAGUGUGGCCGUCCUGCCGCACCGAGGGGUGCAGCGAGGAUGCUUGCUGCUCGUUCCCCGCCAGGCCGAUGGCGGCGUUGGCGGCAGGCGACGGAGAACAACGGGGUGGCCCGCCGAUAGGAGCCGUCUGAGCGACGCGGGCAGCGAGGGCAGCCCGGCGCUCAGCGCGAGCGCGGCGUGCGCCCACCAUGGAGACGAUGAAGCAGCAGGACGCGGAGCGGCGGAAGGGAAGCUUCGGUGCACCCCUACCUGGCGCGCCAAAUGUUGGAUCACCGGUUCCGGCAAAACCCUCAAGGUUCGAACACUGGGGUGUGCACAAAGAUCUCCCCCUACCGAUCUACGUCCUAGCUUCGCUAAGAUCUCAAGGUCUACUCGACGAACUCGCAACACAAGGGACACACGAUUUAUACUGGUUCGGGACACCGUUGUUGUGUAAUACCCUACUCCAGUGUGGUGGUGGUGGAUUGACUCUCGGGCUGAGGAUGAAUAGUACAAGGGGAAGAACAGCCUCCUUAGGCAAGGUGUUCUUGUGCUUAGUGGGUGUGAGGAUGAACUGAGUGCGUUCGAGACCAGUUUUCUCCUACUGUGGUGGCUAAUCCUAUUUAUAGAGGCACUGGUCCUCUUCCCAAAUAUUGAGCGCGAAGGGAGCCAACAACGGCCAAUUUGAAAGGGGACAGCUAGUACAGCUUAUCCUGACAAAAGCAGUCUUCGCCUGCAAAAGGCUCUGGUGGUGACACCGCCUUGGGCUCCAUGGUGACCUCCAUCUUGCCGUCCUGCUGCUCUUGGUCUCGUUGCACCGAUAUGGAAACCUUUGCUUGACGCCUCGGUACUCCGCGCCUGCGCCUGCUUCCUUAGCACCAAAGAGGAAAUAAGGACACUAUGCGCGCUGGCGCCCGCCUAGCGCCCGCCUGGUCUUGGUUCUCAUGCCUUACGUCACAGGAACCUCGCGAGGUUUGCCUUGCCUUGAUCUCUCCGCCCCUCGCGAGCCAACCUGGUGAGGCCGCUCCCGAGGAGGUCUUGCGUCGUUCACCUCGCAAGGCUUGGCCCCUCGCGGGGGUCUUGAGUACUUGUUGGUGAAGAUGGGCCGUACGGGCCCGCUCGCAGAGCCACGCCGUGGGCCGCAGGCAGGCAAGUUUGGGGACCCCCGUUCCCAGAACGCCGACAGUCGGGUUCGACCUCGAGUACACCCGCGCUCGUGCCGGGUUUCGUCCCAAGGUCGCCGUCGCCCAGAUGUGCAUGCGCCACCACGUCCUCGUCUACCACUACUGCCUGGCCACAAGGCCUUGCGAGCGUUUCGCCAGGUUUGUCAACAGCCCCCACUACAUGUUCGCUACGGUGGACAUCACCAAUGAUGUAAAGGCGCUCGAGAAUUCGGGCAUCGCCUGCCAGAAUCUUGUCGACAUCCAGGACCAAUACAAGAUCUGGGAGAGCAAGGAGCAUGAGAAGGACUCACUAGUUCACCUCGCCGAGGCCAUCAUCGACCCCUACUACAGAGACAUGAAGGAUUCCUGCAACAAGGACAAGCGUGCCUGGCACUCGGCCUGGAUGGAGAUACUCGACAAAGCUCACGUCGUGUACGCAGCCAAGGAGGCGUACACGAGCUAUGACAUGUACAGACGGAUCGUUGACAUGAGGAAGUGCCUCCUUCCCCAAAACGGCCAGGGAUCCAGCCAGAAGCAGAGCAAUGGCAAGCAUCGUCGCAACAAUAAGUAGAUGAUUAGAUCCUCGUUUCUCCUCGUUUAGUAUGCAUGUAAUUGCUUACUUUGGUUUGUGGAAAUGUUAUGUGUGUCGUCACUUGUGUAAUUGUAUGCUCAAUUUCGUUAUGCAAUGCUGUCUUUUUAAGUAUAUAUAUGUUGAUGCUCUGUAGACAGAGCGUAGAUGAUGUGCGGACAAAGAAAAUCACAUCGCACACGGACUAAACAAUGGAAUCUGUCGAUGAUGUUUUCAUUAAUCACUCACAAUUGUAUACCAGCAAUCAUUUUCUCACAACACACACGGCUUGUUAACAGGAAUUGUUUGUGUUCUUAUAGGUCUUCCCACACGUUUCCGAUUACAGACCUGUUUGUCGCGUAUCACACACAUCUUGUUAUAUUGAACCGUUUCUGUUCUCUUGGCUCAAAGCAAACAGUUCAUCCAAGUGAACCGCAUGCUGUAUAUCGCACACACCUUGAUCUGGCUGACCGUUUCUUUUGUGUUGCCUAAUCACAAACAGUUCAUCUGAGUGAACCGUAUGCUGUAUAUCGCACACACCUUCCUCUGGUUGCCUGUUUCUUUUGUUCCUCCUCAUCGCAAACAGUUAAUUGAACUGAACCGUGUGCCCUGCAUCACACACGCAACUAAAAUCUGAACCGUGUUUGAUGCAUCCGCCAUCGCAAACGUUUUGCACCUUUUUGACGGGUUUUUUACACCACCGUUUGCGAUUAUUGCAUCGCACACGGUUUCGUCGAACGGUCUCUGAUCGUAGUGUCGCGUUAGCAGCAACCUGCAGUAGUGUGAGGGAACAAAAUAAGAGAAAGAAUAAAAAGAAAUAAAAAGAUCAUAUAUUGAUCUUAUGGAGAGUAAUGACUUCACACACAAAGAGUAUGAUGAAUAAAAGUUGUUGAUAGUUGACAAACAUAGUUUUGGUCAUUGUUGCAAUUAAUAGGAUGUAAUAAAGAAAGAGAGGCUUCACAUAUAAAUAUAUACUAUCUUGGACAUCUUUUGUAAUUGUGAGCACUCAUUAAAAUAUGGCAUGCUAAAAAGUUGAUGUUGGACAAGGAAGACAACAUAAUGAGUUAUGUUUUCUUAUAUCCGAAUAGAAGUUAUAUUGUCAUGUAUCCUCCAACAUGUUGAGCUUGCCUUUCCCUCUCAUGCUAGCCAAAUUCUUUGCACCAAGUAGAGAUACUACUUGUGCUUCCAAACAUCCCUAAACCCAAUUUUGCCAUGAGAGUCCACCAUACCUUCCUAUGGAUUGAGUACGAUCCUCGGUGCAAGCAAUAAAAAUUUCUCUCUAAAUAUGUAUGAUCUAUUAGUGUGAAGAAAAUAAGCUUUAUACGAACUUGUGAUAUGGAAUAAAUAAAAGCGGUGGACUGCAUAAUAAAGGUCCUUAUCACAAGCGGCAAUACAAAGUGACGUUCUUUUGCAUUAAUAUUUUGUCCAUCCAACCAUAAAAGCGCAUGACAACCUUUGCUUCCCUCUGCGAAGGGCCUACCUUUUACUUUUACCUUCUACCCUUAUAAAAGAGUCAUGGUGAUCAUCACCUUUCCUUUUUACACAUUUUCUUUUGGCAAGCACUAUGUGUUGGAGAGAUCCGGAUAUAUAUAUCCACUCGGAUGUAGGUUUUCAUAAAGUAUUAUUGUUGACAUUACCCUUGAGGUAAAAGGUUGGGAGGCGAAACUAUAAGCCCCUAUCUUUCUCUGUGUCCGAUUGAAACUUUGUACCCAUAAGUAUCGGGUGAGUGUUAGCAAUUGUGAAGGACUAAAUGAUAGUUCAGUACAUGAACUUGCUGAAAAGCUCUUAUAUUGACUCUUUCCAAUGUUAUGAUAAAUUGCAAUUGCUUCAAUGACUGAGAUAUAGUUUGUUAGUUUUCAAUGAAGGUUCUGAUUCAUACUCUACCUUGUGAAACAAUUGUUACUUUAACAUAAGAAAUCAUAUGACAAUAUAUGUUGUUGUUCUAAAGAUGAUCAUGAUGCCCUCAUGCCCGUAUUUUAUUUAAUCGACACCUCUAUCUCUAAACAUGUGGACAUAUUUCUCGAUAUCGGCUUUCGCUUGAGGACAAGCGAGGUCUAAGCUUGGGGGAAUUGAUACAUCCAUUUUGCAUCAUGCUUUUAUAUUGAUAUUUAUUGCAUUAUGGGCUAUUAUUACACGUUAUAUCACAAUGCGUAUGCCUAUUCUCUCUUAUUUUAUAAGGUUUACAUGAAGAGGGAGAAUGCCGGCAACUGGAAUUCUGGACUGGAAAAGGAGCAAAUAUUAGAGACCUAUUCUGCACGACUCCAAAAGUCCUGAAACUUCACGGAGAAUCAUUUUGGAAUAAAUAAAAAAUAUUGGGCGAAGAAAGCACCAGAGGGGGGCCACCUGCCAUCCACAAGGGUGGAGGGCGCGCCCUACCCCCCUAGGCACGCCCUCCGUCCUUGUGGCCCCCCUGGCAGGCCCCCGACGCCCAUCUUCUGCUAUAUGGUGUGUUUUGACCUGAAAAAAAUAAGAAGGAAGCUUUCGGGACGAAGCGCCGCCAUCUCGAGGCGGAACAUGGGCAGAACCAAUCUAGGGCUCCGGCGGAGCUGUUCUGCCGGGGAAACAUCCCUCUGGGAGGGGGAAAUCAUCGCCAUCGUCAUCACCACCGAUCCUCUCAUCGAGAGGAGGUCAAUCUCCAUCAACAUCUUCACCAGCACCAUCUCCUCUUAAACCCUGAUUCAUCUCUUGUAUCCGAUCUUUGUCUCAAAACCUCAGAUUGGUAUAUGUGGGUUGCUAGUAGUGUUGAUUACUCCUUGUAGUUGAUGCUAGUUGGUCUAUUCGGUGGAAGAUCAUAUGUUCAGAUCCUUAAUGAUAAUUAAUACUCCUCUGAUUGUGAACAUGAAUAUGCUUUGUGAGUAGUUAUGUUUGUUCCUGAGGACAUGGGAGAAGUCUUGUUAUAAGUAAUCAUGUGAAUUUGGUAUUCGUUCGAUAUUUUGAUAAGAUGUAUGUUGUCUUUCCUCUAGUGGUGUUAUGUGAACGUCGACUACAUGACACUUCACCAUGAUUUGUGCCUAGGGGGAGGCAUUGGGAAGUAAUAACUAGAUGAUGGGUUGCUAGAGUGACAGAAGCUCAAACCCUAGUUUAUGUGUUGCUUCGUAAGGGGCUGAUUUGGAUCCAUAUGUUUCAUGCUAUGGUCAGGUUUACCUUAAUUCUUCUUUCGUAGUUGCGGAUGCUUGCGGGAGGGGUUAAUCAUAAGUGGGAGGCUUGUCCAGGGAAGGGCAGCACCCAAGCACCGGUCCACCCACAUAUCAAAUUAUCAAAGUAACGAACGUGAAUCAUAUGAGCAUGAUGAAAAUUAACUUGACAAUAAUUCCCAUGUGUCCUCGAGAGCGCUUUGUUUUAUAUAAGAGUUCGUCCAAGCUUGUCCUUUGCUAUAAAAAGGAUUGGGCCACCUUGCUGCACCUUGUUUACUUUUGUUACUUGUUACCCGUUAUGAAUUAUCUUAUCACACAACUAUGUGUUACCGAUAAUUUCAGUGCUUGCAGAGAAUACCUUGCUGAAAACCGCUUGUCAUUUCCUUCUGCUCCUCGUUGGGUUCGACACUCUUACUUAUCAAAAGGACUACGAUAGAUCACCUAUACUUGUGGGUCAUCACCGAUGCGUGCAUGUAACUUUCACUUAAUUUCGUCAACCAUCGCGCCUCCCACGACCUUCGCCUCCCUCAAGUGGUCGUGCCCUUUGAGACUUCGGAAGGCUAUAAAUGAGCAAUUUUUUGCCUACUUCGCAUGCAUGAUACUCCCUCUGGUCCUUUUUACUCCGCGUAAGAUUUGUGUCAAGUCAAAGUUUGCAAAGUUUGACCAAAUUUAUAAUAUCAGUAUCGAUAAUACCAAAUAUAUAUUUUAUGAAACUACAUUUCAUAAUGAAUAUAAAAAUAUUGAUUUGACAUUGUGAAUGUUGAUACAUUUUUCUAUAAGUUUGGUCAAAGUAGAGGUACUUUGACUUCAGACAAAACUUAUAUGCACUAUGCAGACUAAUUCCUCCGUCCAGGUGCGUUAUGAUAUUGCCAUGUCAUAUAUAGUCAUCACAACAAGGUUAGAGUGUACUAUACCUCUCUUCUUGUUUAAUUGCUGGGAGUACUCUUUACGAAGAUAGAGGCGGUGGAAUAGUUUUUGUAGUCUGCAAAAGUACUCAAUUAAUGCUCUCCUUCUUCACAAAUCUCCAAAAAAAUCCUCUCCAUCAUGUGUGAAAAAAAUCUGCAUGCUUGACUCUCCGCCUCCCUCCGGCGGUCCCACCACUCCUCCCCGUGUGAAAACAAUCUGCAUGCAUGACUCUCCUCCCCCCGCGCUCGUCCAAUCCGUUGUGACCAGCAAUAUUUCCACCCCUCCCCUCCCCCAUAAUUUACUCCAACAAAAAUAUGUUGUUACGUUAAUCACGCGACAUAUCUUACGUUAAAUACUACGCCUCCCAUGGUUUUCGGAAGAAUGCUCAUGUUCAUCGUAUUUAUCUCCUCCUCCCCCCUCUCAAUUAAGGACCCGUCAACCACCAUGGCAUCGCCCCUCCCAAGCACUAGGCGCCCCUCACUGCCCCGCGCGGAGGGUCACCCAUCGCCAUUCCGUUCCUCGCUGCCACUAGUCGAGGAGGACACGUCGGUGUUCCAUUCCUCACUGCCACCAAUGAAGGAUGACGCGUCGGUGUUCCGCUCCACGCCGCGACACGUCGAGGUGGAUGCGUCAGUGUUCCCACUCUCGCCACCACGCGUAUCGGAGGAUGCAUCGGCUAGCCUCUAUGAGGAGAACGUCGCGCCGCCCGCCGAGCCCCCCCCCCCCAGCUUGGAGGAGCUUUGGAAAGAAAUGCAGGUUGUCUUGUGGUAGGCUUUGCCUUUGGCAGAGCAUGCCAAAAGAGAGGCAGAGAAGAAGGCCGAGGAAGAGAAGCGCGUCGCGAGGCAUGCUGCCUGGCAGGCCUAUGUCGCGUCUGAGAGAGUCAUGUUGGGGAACGUAGCAAUAAUUCAAAAUUUUCUUACGUGUCACCAAGAUCAAUCUAGGAGAUGCUAGCAACGAGAGAGAGGGAGUGCAUCCUUGUCGUCCUACGAGGUUUGGUAGUGACUUGAUCCGAAGUUUCAUGAUCACUAUCAUAAGCUUCCACUUCAAUUGGUGUAGGUGCCACAGGAACAACUUCCUGUGCCCUGCUACACACUAGUUGAAGUCAUGGUUCAAUAACAUCAUCAAGUCUCCACCAUCCUCCCACUGAAUUCUUUCGAGAGAAACUUUUCCUCGAGAAAGGACCCGUUUCUAGAAACAAUCACUUUUGCUUCCAGAUCUGAAAUAGGAGGUAUACCCAACUGUUUUGGGUAUUCUAUGAAGAUGCAUUUAUCCGCUUUGGGUUCGAGCUUAUCAGCCUGAAACUUUUUCACAUAAGCAUCACAGCCCCAAACUUUUAAGAAACGACAGCUCAGGUUUCUCUAAACCAUAGUUCAUAUGGUGCCGUCUCAACGGAAUUGCGUGGUGCCCUAUUUAAAGUGAAUGCGGUUGUCUCUAAUGCCUAACCCAUAAACGAUAGUGUAAUUCAAUAAGAGACAUCAUGGUAUGCACUAUAUCCAAUAGGGUGCAGUUAUGAUGUUCAGACACACCAUCACACUAUAGUGUUCCAGGCGGUAUUAGUCGUGAAACAAUUUCCACAAUUUCUUAAUUGUGUGCCAACCUCGUAACUCAGAUAUUCAUCUCUGUGAUCAUAUCACAGACAUUUUAUCCUCUUGUCACAACGAUCUUCAACUUCACUCUGAAAUUACUUGAACCUUUCAAUAAUUCAGACUUGUGUUUCAUCAAGUAAAUAUACUCAUCAUCUACUCAAAUCAUCUGUGAAGUAAGAACAUAACGAUAUCCACUGCAUGCCUCAGCACUCAUUGGACUGCGCACAUCAAAAUGUAUUACUUCCAACAAGUUGCUUUCUUGUUCCAUCUUACUGAAAACGAGGCCUUUCAGUCAUCUUGCCCAUGUGGUAUGAUUUGCAUGUCUCAAGUGAUUCAAAAUCAAGUGAGUCCAAACGAUCCAUCUGUAUGGACUUUCUUCAUGCAUAUAUACUAAUAGACAUGGUUCGCAUGUCUCAGUCUUUUCAAAAACGAGUGAGUCCAAAGAUCCAUCAACUUGGAGCUUCUUCAUGCGUUUUAUACCAAUAUGACUCAAGUGGCAGUGCCACAAGUAUGUGGUACUAUCAUUACUAUCUUAUAUCUUUUCGCAUGAACAUGUGUGUCACUAUGAUCGAGAUUCAAUAAACCAUUCAUUUUAGGUGCAAGACCAUUGAAGGUAUUAUUCAAAUAGACAGAGUAACCAUUAUUCUCCUUAAAUGAAUAACCGUAUUGCGAUAAACAUAAUCCAAUCAUGUCUAUGCUCAACGCAAACACCAAAUAACAAUUAUUUAGGUUUAACACCAAUCUCGAUGGUAGAGGGAGCAUGCGAUGCUUGAUCACAUCAACCUUGGAAAUACUUCCAACACAUAUCGUCAUCUCACCUUUAGCUAGUCUCCGUUUAUUCUGUAGCCUUUUAUUUCGAGUUACCAACACUUAGCAACCGAACCGGUAUCUAAUACCCUGGUGCUACUAGGAGUACUAGUAAAGUACACAUUAAUAUAAUGUAUAUCCAAUAUACUUCUGUCGACCUUGCCUACCUUCUCAUCUACCAAGUAUCUAGGGUAGUUCUGCUUCAGUGACCGUUCCCCUCAUUACAGAAGAACUUAGUCUCGGGUUUGGGUUCAACCUUGGGUUUCUUCACUAGAGCAGCAACUGAUUUGCCGUUUCAUGAAGUAUCCCUUCUUUCCCUUGCCCUUCUUGAAACUAGUGGUUUUACUAACCAUCAACAAUUGAUGCUCCUACUUGAUUUCUACUUUCGUGGUGUCAAACAUCGCGAAUAGCUCAAGGAUCAUCAUAUCUAUCCCUGAUUUGUUAUAGUUCAUCACGAAGCUCUAGUAGCUUGGUGGCAGUGACUUUGGAGAACCAUCACUAUCUCAUCUGGAAGAUUAACUCCCACUCGAUUCAAGCGAUUGUAGUACUCAGACAAUCUGAGCACAUGCUCAACGGUUGAGCUUUUCUCCCUUAGUUUGCAGGCUCAAGAAACUUGUCAGAGGUCUCAUGCCUCUUGACGUGGGCACGAGCCUAAAAUCCCAAUUUCAGCUCUUGGAACAUCUCAUAUGUUCCGCGGCGUUUCAAAAUGUCUUCGGUGCCUCAAUUCUAAACCGUUCAACAUUACGCACUGAACUAUCACGUAGUCAUCAAAACGUGUAUGUCAGAUGUUCGCAACAUCCACAAACGACGCUCGAGGUUCAGCACACCGAGCGGUGCAUUAAGGACAUAAGCCUUCUGUGCAGCAAUGAGGACAAUCCUCAGUUUACGGACCCAGUCCGCAUAAUUGCUACUAUCAACUUUCAACUAAAUUUUCUCUAGGAACAUAUCUUAAACAGUAGAACUAAAGCGUAAGCUACGACAAAUUUGCAAAGACCUUUUGACUAUGUUCAUGAUAAUUAAGUUCAUCUAAUUAUUUAACGAACUCCCACUCAGAUAGACAUCCCUCUAGUCAUCUAAGUGAUACAUGAUCCGAGUCAACUAGGCCGUGUCCGAUCAUCACGUGAGACGGACUAGUCAUCAUCGAUGAACAUCUCCAUGUUGAUCGUAUCUACUAUACGACUCAUGUUCGACCUUUCGGUCUCUUGUGUUUCGAGGCCAUGUUUGUACAUGCUAGGCUCGUCAAGUCAACCUAAGUGUUUCGCAUGUGUAAAUCUAGCUUACACCCAUUGUAUGCGAACGUUAGAAUCUAUCACACCCGAUCAUCACGUGGUGCUUCGAAACAACGAACCUUCGCAACGUUGCACAGUUAGGGGGAACACGUCUCUUGAAAUUUUAGUGAGGGAUCAUCUUAUUUAUGCUACCGUCGUUCUAAGCAAAUAAGAUGUAAACAUGACAAACAUCACAUGCAAAUCAUAAAGUGACAUGAUAUGGCCAAUAUCAUCUUGCGCCUUUGAUCUCCAUCUUCGAGGCGCGGCAUGAUCACCUUCGUCACCGGCAUGACACCAUGAUCUCCAUCAUCAUGAUCUCCAUGAUCGUGUCUUCAUGAAGUUGUCUCGCCAACUAUUACUUCUACUACUAUGGCUAAUGGUUAGCAAUAAAGUAAAGUAAUUACAUGGCAUUUUCAUUGACACGCAGGUCAUACAAUAAAUUAAGACAACUCCUAUGGCUCCUGCCGGUUGUCAUACUCAUCGACAUGCAAGUCGUGAUUCCUAUUACAAGAACAUGAUCAAUCUCAUACAUCACAUAUAUAAUUCAUCACAUCCUUUUGGCCAUAUCACAUCACAUAGCAUACCCUACAAAACAAGUUAGACGUCCUCUAAUUGUUGUUGCAUGUUUUACGUGGCUGCUAUGGGUUUCUAGCAAGAACGUUUCUUACCUACACAAAAGCCACAACGGUGAUAUGCCAAUUGCUAUUUACCCUUCAUAAGGACCCUCUUCAUCGAAUCCGAUCUGACUAAAGUGGGAGAGACAGACACCCGCUAGCCACCUUAUGCAUCAAGUGCAUGUCAGUCGGUGGAACCUGUCUCACGUAAGUGUACGUGUAAGGUCGGUCCGGGCCGCUUCAUCCCACAAUGCCGCCGAAUCAAGAUAAGACUAGUAAUGGUAAGCAAAUUGAACAAAUCAUCGCCCACAACUACUUUGUGUUCUACUCGUGCAUAGAAUCUACGCAUAGACCUGGCUCAUGAUGCCACUGUUGAGGAACGUAGCAAUAAUUCAAAAUUUUCCUACGUGUCACCAAGAUCAAUCUAGGAGAUGCUAGCAACGAGAGAGAGGGAGUGCAUCUUCAUACCCUUGAAGAUUGCUAAGCGGAAGCGUUACAAGAACGCGGUUGAUGGAGUCGUACUCGCAGCGAUUCAAAUCGCGGAAGAUCCGAUCUAGCACCGAACGGACGGCGCCUCCGCGUUCAACACACGUACAGCCCGGGGACGUCUCCUCCUUCUUGAUCCAGCAAGGGGAGAGGAGAAGUUGAGGGAGAACUCCAGCAACACGACGGCGUGGUGGCAAUGGAGCUCGUGGUUCUCCGGUAGAGCUUCGCUAAGCACUACGGAGGAGGAGGAGGUGUAUGAGGAGGGAGGGCUGCGCCAGGGAAGAGGUGCAGCUGCCCUCCCACCCCUCCACUAUAUAUAGGGGCAAGGGGAGAGGGGGAGGCGCCCUAGGGUUUCCCCUAGGGGGCAGCGGCCAAGCAGAUUGGAUCUCCCUAGGGAAAAUCCUAGGGAGACUUGCCCCCCAAGCCAAGCAGGUGGAGGCUUGCCUCCCAAGCCAGGUGGAGGCGCCCCACCUCCCCAAGUAACGUGGGAAAGGGUGUGGGGGGCGCACCACCCCUUAGUGGGCUGGUUUGCCCCUUCCCCUUUGGCCCAUGAGGCCCUCCAACACUUGCCGGGGCUCCCGAAACACCUUUCGGUCAUGCUGGCCAUAGCCUGGUACCCCCGGAACACUUCCGGACUCCAAUACCCUUCGUCCAAUGUAUCGGUCUUCACCGCCGGACCAUUCCGGAACUCCUCGUGAUGUACAGGAUCUCAUCCGGGACUCCGAACAACCUUCGGUAACCACAUACUAUUUACCAUAACAACUCUAGCGUCACCGAACCUUAAGUGUGUAGACCCUACGGGUUCGGGAACCAUGCAGACAUGACCGAGACACCUCUCCGGCCAAUAACCAAUAGCGGGAUCUGGAUACCCAUAUUGGCUCCCACAUGUUCCACGAUGAUCUCAUCGGAUGAACCACGAUGUCGGGGAUUCAAUCAAUCCCGUAUACAAUUACCUUUGUCAAUCGGUAUGUUACUUGCCCGAGAUUCGAUCGUCGGUAUCCCAAUACCUCGUUCAAUCUCAUUACCGGCAAGUCACUUUACUCGUUCCGUAAUGCAUGAUCCCGUGACUAACUACUUAGUCACAUUGAGCUCAUUAUGAUGAUGCAUUACCGAGUGGGCCCAGAGAUACCUCUCCGUCAUACGGAGCGACAAAUCCCAGUCUCGAUUCGUACCAACCCAACAGACACUUUCGGAGAUACCUGUAGUGUACCUUUAUAGCCACCCAGUUACGUUGUGACGUUUGGUACACCCAAAGCAUUCCUACAGUAUCCGGGAGUUGCACAAUCUCAUGGUCUAAGGAAAUGAUACUUGACAUUAGAAAAGCUCUUAGCAAACGAACUACACGAUCUUGUGCUAUGCUUAGGAUUGGGUCUUGUCCAUCACAUCAUUCUCCUAAUGAUGUGAUCCCGUUAUCAAUGACAUCCAAUGUCCAUGGUCAGGAAACCAUAACCAUCUAUUGAUCAACGAGCUAGUCAACUAGAGGCUUACUAGGGACAUGUUGUGGUCUAUGUACUCACACAUGUAUUACGGUUUCCAGUUAAUACAAUUAUAGCAUGAACAAUAGACAAUCAUCAUGAACAAGGAAAUACAAUAAUAACCAUUUUAUUAUUGCCUCUAGGGCAUAUUUCCAACAAGUCAGGCAAUUGGCUCUUUGGUAGAAGGCUUGUGCGAGGACCGCUAUGGUGGCGGAGGACUCCCGUGCCAAAGCCCUGAGUGCAGUCGGGCCCAAGCGCCUCAUCUACGCUUGGUGGUACAUGGACCAGGUGGACGCUUCCAGCGAGGAGAAGUACCUGUUGGCGCCGGAUCACCAGACCGAUGAGAUCGCGCUCGCUCGCCCGCCGGCAAGCCGCCAAUCAGCACCUCACGAGUUGUCAGGCCGAGGAAGAGGCUUUGUGUCGCCGGGCUGGGAAACGGCUGCGCAGCAGGGCACUCGUGGCGCGCCGCAAGCGCUCCACCCUGCGUCGUGGCUUUUAUUAGGAAUAAUUUAGUGUCGUAAGGCGAUCUCAUUAGUUUUUGGAUGGAAAUGAUUAAUCCCAAAUGUUCGGGAAUUAUUAGCGUUGUUAAUUAAGUAUGUAAAAGGAAAAGUUUGGAAACCUUGUGGGUCCUUAAGCAUUUGUAAGUACGUGCAUAUAGCACAAACUUAAUUAUAUAUCACAGUACACGUCUCUCUCUAUAUAUGCUUGUAGACUGUACUACUACUAUUAUGUAUACACACACGUGCAAAUGCACAUUUUAACAUUACGAUGCGGUUUUUGUAAAAGUAGAAGAACAACACUAGUCAAGCUUGUGAAACCAUUCAAUGCAAAAGAAAUGCAAAAAUGCUCGUCUGAUUGUUUACUUUAGCUUCCUUCUCUCUGUGGUUAUUUCUCUAUCGUACUUUGUACGGAGUAUCUCACUCGUCGGGAAGGCAUGCAAAUUCCCAAACCGCUUCGUACACCCUGUGUCGAUUUUUUUGCCUAACAAGUUGUGUCGUGCAAUUGGAAUUCCAACUUGAGUACUACUGCUAGGAGUACUAGGAGUAGUAGCUAGGGAUACUAGGAGUAGUAGAUAGGGAUCGAGUGUGGGAGAUGAACCGGAAAAGUAAAUGCAGAGAGAUGAAAUGCAAAAAAGACAGAGGGAUGUGAUGGUUGCUUGUCCGUUUAUUUUACUGGGCCACUUAUUACUGGGAGUGGUGGGGUUUUGUGAUAUGACGGCUUUACUGUCGUGCCACGAGUGGGGUGAGACUCCCGUGCAGCGUCAUCCUCUACACUAGUACUACCUUCAUCGUGGUUUAUUAGUCCCCCAUGUAAUUUGACUGAAGAUUUAACUGACAAAAUGUUAGUGCAUGUCAACAAAAACUAUAUCGUUGGAUUUGUAUUUGAACAUAGUUUUCAAUGAUAUAAGUUUUGGUGCAUGAGCAUUUAUCGUACUAUAUAUAAUGUUAGUUAAAUUUAUGGUCAUACUAUAUAUAGUAAGGUGCCCGUGCGUUGCACAGAACAGUGAAAUACAUUGAUCGGGGAGUUGUUUAUUUUGACAAAGUAUGUGGGGGUCAUCUCAUGUGUAACGACUAUCGAUAGGUUUCUUCGGAUAUUAUUUCUUCUCUAGAGCUCACAAGCAUCCGGGUGAAUAGUAAAUGUAGGCUAAAUAGAUAAAAAAAGUAUCUUUUGCAAACAAAAGCGUUCAACUGUUCAACCUGCAUCCAAAACUUUUGAAGAAAUAACACUUACUGUGCUUUGCAAGAAAUGAUCUUUAAGAAUUCUUUUUUGAGUGUCGAUUUUGUUUAUUUUUUUGGACCACCAUGAAUGUAAAUCAGGAUGACUUGGAAGGGGGCAGAGGAGAUGUAAGAAAUGGUUCAUCAUAAGUCUUUCACCAUUACUGUAGUAAAAAUUCACAAUUAAUCUCAUAAAUGGCAAGCGAGAACUCUAAUGGAGCAAAAGUAUACAUGGAAAAUUCUAGACUAAACCAUAAAUGGAUACACUUUUAUUCAAGUGUGAUACUCUAAUAGAGCAAGAUCAUGCAUGGAAGGUUAUAUACUAUAUAAAUAAGAAGUGUCCACAUGCUUAGACAACGGCUUACAUUGAGCGAAGACUAAUGAUGAACAGUUAACUUGGUAAUGCAUAUGCCCAGGUGAACCUCCUUGGAGUCCCCGUGCAUCAUCUUGGGGUGAAAAUGAUACCAGGCCUCUUCCAUGUCCACAUUGCUGGGAAUGGAGCAGCUCGGCACAGUCCCAUUCAGCGUGAGGGGAUUAUUGAGGUCGCCCUCGUAGGCCGGAGGGGUAGUAAUAGUGAGCACGCACCAGUACAGCGGGCUCGUGCCAGCGUCAGCGCCGUUGCCCCUAGCGCACACUACAGAGAUGGGGCGACGGCCUGUGUGGGCCUUGCCGGUGCCCAUUGCCAAGAGGAAGACGUUGUCGUCGUCCUCUGUGGCUAGCAGGCGGCGGUGAUCCUCCAGUGACUCCGGCACGGCGAAUGGGUAGCACGUCUCGUACUUGAUGUUCACCGCGGGCCAGUAGUGAUUGCCGGACGGUGCCGUCAGGUGAUGCACGAGUCUCGCCGGCGAGCCCUCAAACAGCGGUGUGCACUCAUAGCAGUAGCAGGGCGCGCGCGCAUCUGGAACUAUGCUCCGCCAGCGAAUGAUGGUCGACAUACCUCUCGCAGCCGAAACUCUUGUAGACGCAGGGCACCUUGCAGGCAUCGACCAGGUCGUCCAUGAAAUGGGAGUGGCUGUAGGGGACGUUGCGCCCGCCGCAUGGAGCGCAGGAGUAGCACACGGAGCGGUAGAUGGUAUCCUUACUAGUACUCCCUCCAUUUCUUUUACUAGUCUCUACUCUCUACUCUCUAUCUCUACUCUCUACUCUACUACUUAUAUACUCUUACUACUUAUCUCCACUCUUACAAAAAAACAGAGUUGGUGAUGAUGGUGUGCCUGCCAUCCUGCAAUAUAGGUCGUCCGAUUUAUAUCUGACGGAUGGGAAGGAAACUACGGCGAUUUUGCAAAAAGAUACCCACACCCCUCUCCACAUUUGCAAAUAAGGCCUUCCCUCGUUCAUCCUUUUCUCCCACAAGAUAAACUACUCAUACAAAUGCAUCUUGAUGUUCCAUGCAACGCAUGGGCAUCUUGCUAGUGUGUCUUAUAAAAAGCAGAGUUGGUGAUGAUGGUGUGCCAGCCAUCCUACAAUAUAGGUCGUCCGAUUUAUAUCUGAUGGAUAGGAAGGAAACUAUGGCAAUUUUGCAAAAAGAUAUCCACACCCUUCUCCACAUUUGCAAAUAAGGCCUUCCCUCGUUCAUCCUUUUCUCCCACAAGAUAAACUACUCAUACAAAUGCAUCUUGAUGUUCCGUGCAACGCAUGGGCAUCUUGCUAGUUUUUUCUCCACUCUUAUAAAAAACAGAGUUGGUGAUGAUGGUGUGCCUGCCAUCCUGCAAUAUAGGUCGUCUAAUUUAUAUCUGACGGAUAGGAAGGAAACUAUGGCAAUUUUGCAAAAAGAUACCCACACCCCUCUCCACAUUUGCAAAUAAGGCCUUUCCUCGUCUUAUAAAAAACCGAGUUGGUGAUGAUGGUGUGCCAUCCAUCUUGCAAUACAGACCGUCCGAUCUAUAUCUGAUGGAUAGAAAGCAAACUAUGGCAAUUUUGCAAAAGGAUACCCGCACCUCUCUCGUUCAUCCUUAUCUCCCACAACUUCAUUGUUGAGUAAUUAAAAAAGGAAGCCUCUCCUAUAAAAAAAAGGAAGCCUCUGGAACAAUCUGGCAUGGUGGCCGCUGCCGGCGUCAUCCAUCCCCAUGCCUCCGCUAAGUCCGACCACCAAUCACCACCGCGCCCCACCCCUCCUCACCUUAUCUCUCAUCUUUCUCGAGAUAUCAUUUUUUCGAUGAAAUUCUUGAGAUACCAUUUUUUGAUGAAAUUCUCGAGAUAUCAUUAGUUUUUACACAUGGGAUUACUCCUGCAUGGGUCAAUCACAACAUGUGUUUUGUAAAAAAAUGCAUGUUGAUGUUCCGUGCAAUGCACGGGCAUCUUGCUAGUUUGCAUAUAAUUCCGAACACCACGUAGACACAUUCUCUGACCAUUUUACAACUAUGUUAGUAUCAUUGUUAGUGGUCAGGUGGUGCAAGUUCUAGCCCCGGGUGUUUUAACCUUUUUUUAGUAAUGAUAUCCGGCGAUUGUUCGCCACAAGCCCGAUCCUGGCGAGUCCCACAUAAUCGUCAGAUUUCCAUCCGACGGUGGCCUGUUUCUAAGCCAUAGUAUUUGACAAAACCGCCACCCUUGCACACGUACUAUAACUACGUCGCGGGCGUUUGCAACUGCCAUGUCUCCCAGCGAACAUUUGCCAGGGAUUGGAGUUAGCACCGAUGCGGUUCGUAGUCGUUCCACGCUCGGGCAUUGAAGUUUGUAACUAUUUUACAAUAUAAUACUACUCCUUCGGUGCUAGUAGUAGAGCAGAGUCCUACUCCACUAUACUACUCGGGCAUAGUAGUAGGUAUUGUAGUUUAUUGUACUAGUAUUGUGAUCACUCAAGCAAGUUGUCUGGCAUCGAUAUGACCCUACGCUGUUGGGAUGUGUCUCGUAAGUCAAGUGGCGUGAUGCUGCUACAUUGUCAUCAUCACCUGUCCACUUCCCGCAGCACAUAUUCGCUUCUCCAUCCUCGUCCGCACAUAAUCGUCCAAUCUUCCAUCCCCGCUAGGCGCCUCCCCCCUCUUCCCAAACCCAAACACUGACGAUGGCAGAACCAAGCAGUGUCCGCCGAAAGAGUGGCUGGAAUUCGCUCCCCACAGAGGUAAUCAAGCUCAUUGUUUCGCGUGUGGACAAUCUCAGUACCAUGCCGCUCGCCGCGUGCUCAUCGGGGUUGUACCGUUUACUCAAAGCCCUCAGGCCGGAGCUUUUUAAGCCAGCUCCCUGCUUGCUGAUGCCGCCUGAUCUUCAGAAACAGCAUGUCACACAGCAUAACGAUCGUAGGGUGGUGAGUAUCAACCCCCUCGACUGCGAUCCGAUCCCUGUCACCCUCAACUACAUUAACGGUAUGUACUGGGUCGGCAUGAACACGUCUUGGAUGGUGCUCGUCGACGGUCGCGGCAGCUGGAUGCUCGUGGAGGUCUACACCCGGCAAUUGAUCCCCCUUCCUUCGAUUAACAUUGCACUGCUUUGGCACCGCGGCCCAGAAUACUCGGAAUCUUACAGUAGCCAACAUGAUACCAAGUUUGAUUUGCUCAAGGUUGUAAUCUGCCAAGUGCCCACAAGAUCUGCGAAUUAUAAAGACUUCAGGCUAAUUGCGUUCUUCAACCGCGGCCUCGCCUAUCUGACAGGUCACUGUGGUAAGUGGAUAAAUCUGCACGUCCAUCGCAGGAUCAUACAUCCUCCAUGGUUCUCUGAUGCCAUUGAACACAAGGGCUUCAUUUACGCCGUGGAAUCCUUUCAUGGUUGGACGUAUUGCUGGCCUACUCCAAUCAUCGCUACAAAUGGCUGUUAUAGUAGUAUGUUACUUUCCUAUGAUAUCAUGAUGGUUUGCUUAUAUUACUGUCAACAUUUACUGAAAAAUAUUCAUGCUCAUAACAUGUUGUUCUUAAGAUUGACUACAGUACGAGCCCUUUUUUAUUUGACUCCAACUUGAUAUGAUGUUGUAGGCCGCCUGGUGUCCCUACCCUUCCUAAUCCCAAAACAUUUCAAAGAAACGUGGCAUGGCAGUUGCAGGUGGUUCCUAGCUCGAUCAUACGACGGUGAACGAUUGAUGAUCGUUCGCACAUACCGGGCGUGUUGUUUCACGGAAUGCAAUCACAGUCACUGCAAGGUCUUUGAGCAGGAUCCUGGCUUCUCUGGGCCUUCAGGAAUUUUUGACUGGAUGCCGGUAAGUAGCCUUGGUACACGCUCUCUGUUUCUUGGACUGAAUUAUCCAAUUAACCAGGAGAUAACCGAUGGCAAGGAUCAUGAUGGCAGCGCGGUUUCAUUCAUCAGGCAAAACUGUGUGUACACACCGUACCAUGCGUCUCUCCAUGCACCAUACCUUGAUAUGUGCUAUCAUGCUCUACAACCCAAAGUAGGAGAGAGGGUCGCAAGUAUCAGACUUCGACCUGCUGGCUGGAGUUUCCCCCGUCAGGCACCCAUCUGGUUCAAGCCGUCAGCCAAUCUCCACAGCUUAAUAAAUAGUAAUGUCUAACUGAGCCACUUAGUUAGAUGCGUACACUUGGUAUAGUAGGAUCUUUAUUUAGUUUGAUGCAUACACUUGUUCUUUUUUGGUAGCCCUUUUGUAAUGUUGGCUGAUGUUUGGUUUGGAAGAGAGAGUUGCGUCUUUACUCUUCUGGCCUGCUUACUGCUUCUGUUGCACCCCCAGCCCUGGUUGUUGUUGUUGCUGUUUUUAAUGUACAAUCAGUAAUAUGUUUAGUCUGUUGGUUGAAUAUAAAUGUGUUGUUAGAAUGACAAACACAAUGUUUUGGAAGUUGUUGCACUGUCCGAUCCUUUGGUGCCCCGUACGUAGCGCAUACUAUUUUUGGUACGGAACACACUUUCCACUUGUUGAUCACAUGCAACCCAGUGAUGAAGGCCCAAUAGAGGAGCCCAUAAUUAACUAGAAGGGAGGCUCUUACAUGAAUCCGACCCAGGUACAUGCUCAUGGUCCCCUAAACAUAAAUAAAUAAAUAAAUAAAUAAAGCUAAAUGCUCAUGCACCAGUUCUUUAAAUUUACGAUUUGAAAAGUCAAAUUUUAACAGGAGGAUAUUAUUUCCUAUGAGAGUGUUGUUACAUUUAGUCGAUAUUACUUUUAGGCAAAGAUAGCGACCAGUCUUUUUUCUCCCACCAUUUUCUUCCUACAACCAGCGGACCCAUGCAAAUCGUAGUCAAUGUCAUAAACAGUUCUGGUCCAUUAUUAUUUUUCCAUAAGAAUGCCCAACCCAGCCCAACACACUGGCGACACCACUUUAUCUGAGGGCUUCUGAAUGUGCUCGGCUUCACACCUCAAGAAGAAAAUUGUCUAAAAAACCUAGAGAAGAAAAGGGUGCUCCGCAGCAUUUUACAAUAAGUUGUAGCCAUAUAAAAUUAAUUCUUAUAAUCCAGCAUAAUGAGUUUUUGGGUCUGACCGGUCCAGCCGCCAAAACCAAACCUGCGUCGGCGGGAGCGCCUGUUCCCGCCUUCUACGGCUGGUUGCGCUGCCGUGCAUGCAUCGCCGCCCUGUCAUACCCUGAAAUGUUGGCCAGACCAUCCCUUUACUCCCCCCAACAUCCAAUUCUUCUCCAGCGACGGCAGCCUACCCCGCACCAGAACCAGUGAACCCUCGUACUCCCCUCCGCCUACGGCCAUACUGCCGCAUGUUCCCCGGCUCAUGUUCAUUCCCGUCCGAGGCCUCGCCGUCGUCCUCCGCCUUGGUGCGCUCGCAGCGGCGCCGCUGCCCGGCCCUGUAAACAUAGUGAAUCAGGAGAGGACUGUAGUUGUGAGUAUGAUAGUAUGGACCCACCAGGUCCACUCCCGAACACAAGCAAGCGCCUCUUUACUACACAGAUGCACCCCGCGAUUUUUUUACUCUAAUCCACCCUGUUGAUAUCUGGGACCCACAUCAUUGUCAACGUAUAGUCAAUUUACGACAGAAUUGCACAAUGCAUUUUUUUGUGGAUUUGUUCAAAGGAGCAGGCUAUAAACUGGGUUGUGCAGUCUCUGUGGCCUGUCUAACAACAUGAGCGGCCCAGCAAUUUUUUCUUUGGGAAAAUAGGUAGCCCACUAUUUCUUUUUGAAGAAUACCCAAGCUAGGCCUAUUUGUUUUCUCCGACUUACUGGGCUGCAAAUCUUUGAAGACGAGGAGAGAUGCAUUCCGGCCUGGCCAGAGAGUAUGGGCAGUAAAUCUUAAAGUAAUAUGACAGUGGUUGCAAAUUCCAAAAAAAUAUAGCAAAUGGGCAAUUAGUUUCGUUUUUUGUUUUUCUUCUUCACUGAUAUUUUAUAUUUCAUUGGAUUUUAACAUAACAUAGUAUUACUUUAUUUUUAAAUUAUUAUUAGUAUGGCUACUAAUUUCUUGAUUAAAAAUAUUUUGUUCCCCAGCAAAAACAUGUGAAUUUUUAAAAUUUUGCAUAUUCUUUAGUUCAAAAUUUUAACCCUGGUACUGACCAGAAAAUGGGCAGCAAUUCUAAAAAUGGAAAAUGGUCUGCAAUAAAUUCCAUAUGAGUUAGCAAAUGUGGCUGUAAAUUAUAAAAAUAAUAGCAAAUGGGUUGUACACGCCACAGAUUUCGAGGCUAACUUGUUUACGCAAGGCUUUGUCAACUUGUAGUCAACACACGAUUCUAGCAGCAGUGAUUGUUCACUGUUGGAUGUCCAUCCAACGGCCGACGUGCUUCUUCAAUCUCUGAUCUUCCUACUCCAGCCACCUAAACUAGCGCCUGCGGGACUGCCUGCUGCCUCCUCUUGUGGUCGGCUGUGAUGCCACGCAGGCUUCACCGGCCCACCCUACUCCCUUUGCUGGCCUGGCCAUCCCUCUACCCACCCGCACCUCCUGUUAUUCUCCGGUGAUGGCAGCCUCACACCGCAGCCAAACCAGUCAACCGUCAUACUCCCCUCAUCGUGGGCAUCCACUGAUGUGUCUUCGCCGGCUCCGGGUCGUUCCAUUCCUAGGCCUCAUCAUCGUCCACCGCGUUGGUGCUCUAGGCGCGGCGUGCUCAAUGUGGUCAACAUUCAACAAACGAUAGCCAUCGUAAUAGGGAUGUACGUGGAGAGGCUGACAGUAGAGAUCCCCAUGGUCCAUGGCCGCACGCAAGCAACUGCCUCCUUAUUACGCGAAAAAAUACGAUUCCUCCCACUGACAUCUGGGGCGCACCGGUUCGAAGGCUGACCUGUGGGCCUACUAAGUUGACGCGUACGCAGGGCUUUGUCAACUUAGUCAACAAACGAUUCUAGCAGCAGUGACCGUUGGAUUUUAAUCAAACGGUCCUACUGCUUCUUCAACCUGUGAUCUUCUUGCACCAGCCGCCCAAACCAGCGCUGGCGGGACCGCCUGCUCCUGCCUCUAGUGGCCGGCUGUGCUACCGCACAGGCCUCACUGCCCCACCCUACUCCCACCGCUAGCCAGGCCUUCCCUCUACUCACCCACACCCCUUGUUAUUCUCUGGCGACGGCAGCCUCAAACCACAGCCGAACCAGUCAAUCUUCGUACUCCCCUCCGCGUGAGCAUUCACUGCUGCGUAUUCCCCGGCUCUAGGUUGUUCCCUUCCUAGUUCGCGUUGUCGUCCGCCACCUUGGUGCUCUCGUACUGUACGGCGUCAUCAACGCGUUCAAUGAACGACAGCCAUCAGAAGAGGACUGUAAGUGGAGAGACUGACAGCUGGGUCCAUGGCCGCACGCAAGGAAGUGCCUCCUUAUUACGCGCAAAAUAAUGAUUCCCCCACCUGACAGCUCGGAUCCAUCGAAAGGGCCUCUAUAUUUCGCGAAAAAAAAUGUCCCCCUGACAGCUGGGACCCACCGGCUUUAUCUUCGCACGGAAAGAACUACCUUCUUACCCCCUGACAGUUGGGACCCACCAGGUUGAAGUGAAGGUAGCGUUAUCCGUCUAGCCGCGAAUGUGUACGUACAUAGCGGUCGAUCGGUCUCUAUGAAGUGACAUACCGUGGCCGAGUAAGGAGCGGCACGUGUGGAAGUAGAGGCGUGGACGUAGCAUGUCACGCAGCCCCGUCUAUAUCGUGUACACAUACGUACAUCCACACUGCAGGAUAGUAAAUAUGGCUAUGUACGCACAUACGGGCGGGGUCUCUAACGCGUACAGCAACAUCGUCCGGUUCAUCGGCAGCCAACCGGCUGGGUCGGAACGGAGGAAACAGCGUCGUGUUCAUCGGGAGGCAACCGACAUACGUCCUGUUCAACGGGAGCCAACCGACUUGGACGGAACAGCCGAAACAAGGUCUGGCGUACCGCAAAACGGAGGAAACGGACUUGUGUUGGAGCACCUACGGUCGAAACGGGGUGCUGUUGAUCGGGAGGGGUCUGGCGUACCGCAAAACGGAGGAAAUGGACUUGUGUUGGAGUGCCUACGGUCGAAACAGGGUCCUGUUCAUUGGGAGGGGUGUGGCGUACCGCAAAACGGAGGAAACGGACUUGUGUUGGAGCGCCGACGGGCGAAACGGGGUCAUGUUCAUCGGGAGCGGUGUGGCGUGCCGCAAAAUGGGACUCCACGGGCUACUGUUCAUCCACCGUCUACUACCUCGCUCCAACCUCCACCUGCUACUGUUCAUCAACCGUCGACUUCCACUGGUGCGCGUCGGUCCUAAACAAACGGUUUUUAACCCCUUUCCGCGACGGCAUUUGGAACCGUCGCCAAGUGAGUGUGGGUGAUAGGGGGGUCCUUCCCACACGACCCAGAAACCGUCGGGGAUAUGCCCUCCUGGCACACACGUUCGGCAAAAUGAGGUCGUGUGCGACCGGCGAGCGCUCAAAUACGGAAAUACGUACAGUAGAUCUAAAAAAUACAAUUAUACGGCGAAUUUUUUUCCGUUCGCAAGUACAUCCCACACAGUCAGUCCCCGCUAAACGUUUUCGUUCGUAUGUACAUCCCACACAGUCGCUCCAAGGAAAACGUUUCCGUUCACAGGUACAUCACACACAAUUUUUCCCGUUAAAUCGUUUGUGAUAGCGUUGCCAUUGCACACGAUAUUAAUAAUUUUAUCGUUUGCGUUAUUGAAUGCAUCACACACAGUGCAUAGAAGAAACUGUGUGGCAAAGGUUGUCCAUCACACACACUUUUUUAUGUGAUAAACGUUUGCGCAAGGUGGCCUAACGCAAACAGUUUUCAAGAGAAAGUCGUGUGUGCAGUGGAGAUUGAUCGCACACGUAGUGGAUCCUAGAAACGUUUCUGAUCUCCAUGUAUAUCGCAGACGUUUCGCUUUCGCAAACCGUGUGCAGUGUAAUCCCUAUUUAAUACAUAAUUAAUCCCUAAUUUAAAAGUCACGUGUUUUGAAUUUGUAAGUAGGCAAUCACUUAUUUCAUAUCCAACCAUGUUUAUUACAAAUAUAGGUUCAACCACGAAUCCAUAAUUCAAUGCACAGGUACAUAUACUGAAGAACUACAGAAGCACCAAGUAAAGAAUGAUGAACCACAGUUGUACUAAAGACUGUAAAGAGAGAGGCGAAAGACAUUCUGGUUGCUGGAGAAGGUGAAGCGGAAUGCCCAUAUUGUGCCCUCCUCCAUGCGUAAGGUGCGCACGACUCUAGGCCAACCCCUUGUGAUGGCUGCCUGUCCAUCCUUCACUGUCUUCAUUAGGACUUAUCGAUGCUCAUUGUAGUCUGGAUGAAAUACUUUAACCUUCAUUGCGUGUCCACCAAUCAUGUACUUUCCGAGGUAAUCUUGAGUGAACUGCUUGGGGAACCACUGGGAACGAAAAAGAUUCAGACAUUGUUGUCUAACAACUCAUUAUGGGCAGUAAAAAGAGAAGGCUGCAGAGUUUGUAGUUACCAUCCUACAGCUCACUGUUGUGUUGGAUAGAGCAUAAACAAAUAAUUUGCUUGCCACCAUUCGUAUCUUUUUGCUAAUAAUCCUUAUCAGUUUCCUCACUUGAUGCUUGUUCAUCAAUAUCUCAUUGUCCCAUACGCAAAAAGGGUCGAUGCGUGGAUCCUUGCCAAGGGCAUAUGUACCUACAAGCAACAAGUCAAUAUUAGAAGCUAGCUAGUGUCUAGGCCUGGAUCUAUAUGCACUAAAUUAUGGAACGACGGGGGGAGUACAAGCCAAGGGAUGAAGCUAACCUCGGCGGGAAAUGGUGGCCACUCCCGUUCUUGUCCUGCAUAUGUACUGGAAAGGCAUGAUAAGUACAGCAAUCUUAAAAUCAAACAAAUAUAGUAAAGGUAAACAACAUCAUCUCCAAAUGAUAGCUUGAAUGUGUUGGUUUCAGCAUGCUGUUAAAGUAGAUAUAAAAUGGAAGGCAAUGUUACCGACAGCAGGCUUAACAACCAUCAAAUAUUGCAAUUCAAACUGGUAUUGUUGAAAAUGAAUAGAACGUAGGUAAUGCUUAAACAUCACACUGGAUAAAUGUGUAAAACUGAAAUAAAGGGCAUGUGUUAACUACACCAGGAAUAACUGGAACCAAAUAUAGCCGUUCAAACUGGUAUUGAUGUAGUUGAGCGGCACAGUUUCGACUUGCACAUAAUGAACCACACAUUGUGAAUGACCGAAGUAAACAAGGCAUAAAUGACCAGUAUAACAACCAAAUAUACCAUUGAAAACUGGACAGAGUCUCACUGCAACCAACCUAACAAGCAAAUACAGAUAAACAGGGCAUAUGCUUGAAAAUUGGACAAAUGCUCACUGCAACCAACCUAACAAGCAGAUAAAGAUAAACAAGGCAUCUGCUUGAUAACUAGAGAAAUGCUAAAAAAGCAACCUAACAACCAAAUACAGAUAAACAAGGCAUCUGCUUGAUAACUGGACAAAUGCUAAAAAGAAAAGCAACCUAACAACCAAAUACAAAUAAACAAGGCAUCUGCUUGAUAACUCGACAAAUACUCACUGCAACCAAACUAAGAACCAAAUACAGAUAAACAAGGCAUCUGCUCGAUAACUGAAAAAAUGCUCACUCCAACCAACCUAACAACCAAAUACAGAUAAACAAGGCAUCUACUCACUAUAAACAACCAAAUAUAGCCAUUCGUGAAACUAAAGUGGACAAUUCAUACUUAAACAUCACAUAGACCUAUUGAACAAUACAUUUUUGCAUAACUGAAAUAAUUAAACACGGCACAGUUAAAGCACCGCACGGCAAAUGCUACUACAACAAAGGGUAUGGGUUGGCAAGCUAGAAAAGGUAAGAUUUGCUGAUAGAAUGUUGCCUCACAUUUCAUGGAUGGGAUCCUUCCAGUUGGAAGAGCACAGACCCAUGGUGCACUCUCUGAUGUCACAGAUGGGCUGUUUCACCUUGGAAGAACCUUCGUGGGUGCCCUCCUCGUGGUCAUGGUUGUGGUCGAUAAGAUCUGACUUGGCAAUUGAAGAUCCCAAGCCGCCGCCGUAGAACGUGUCCUUCAGAAGUGACAAAAUGGGCUCGAUGGCGUAUAAAGCUCGCAAAUCCUUGAUCGCUUGGCGGAGGAGAUCAGCAGCUGGGCCGUCGAAGAGAUCGAUGGCGGUUGAACCAGAGGGGUUGGGGAUGGACCACUUAACCUGUGACAUGGCCCGUGUGAAGCCGUCGGUGUGGACGAGCUUGAUGUCGUAGCCAGCUUUCCCGAGAUACAGUAAUACGCUAGCCCGCUGACAUGAAGCCUUCGACAUGGCAACAUAGUCAACGUCUUUGCCGGCUUCCGCGGCGGCGUGUUACUCCGGGAUCGACAGGUCGGGGCGAAUGGCGGCCACCUCGCCAACGUCCGCCAGAGAGGCCAUGAUUAAACCUCUUCUUGGCCGAACGCUCGUCGGGCUCCCCGGGAUACGUGGUCGAGCUUAGGCUGCGACAUUCUGGAGCAGGGGAUGUGGAUCUGGCGGGGAGGGACACCGCAGGCCUCAUCUAAAAACUCAGGGGAGUGGGGCUACGGUAUGGGAAUCGCCGGAUAACGUGAACUUUAUUAUCUAAGCUAGGAGGAACGGGCAGACCGGCAGGGUUGGCGGCGGCGGCCGCGAGCUAGGGUUCGAAGGGGGGUGGGGGCGGGUGGGGGACUGUGGAGGGGGGUGUUUGAGGAUACGCCGCGGCUACUAAUUUUUUUACUAAUGGUGGGUGGAGAUGGUGGUGGACGAGGGAGGGCAGCGGUUCAAAUGCCUCGGCUACUGCAAUUUUACUAUAAGGUCGCUGCUGGAGGAGUGUGGGCGACGGUUGAAGUACGAGGCUACUAAAAUUUGGGUAAAGGAAUUGAUGCGGGGCGGGAGUGCCCAAGAUCGCGCACGGUCCAAUAACAAUAUGCGUGUAUGAUAAUAAGGAAAAGUGGCGUGGAUCCGCCGAUUUUUGCAACGCUCAAGGCGGGUAGUUUGUUUUUUAUAUUUCUAGCUAGCUCGUCUAUCGCACACGAUUCAUCCUAAUUUCCAAAUAAACUUACCCGCCUUUAGCUUCCACACAGGUGGUGGUUUUACAUCGCACUUGCAUCGCACACGAUUAAGCCAGUACCUCCACCCUUUGCUCAUGCUUGCACGGUCGUGGUGAUUUCAGCGCACUUGCAUCGCAAACGGUUGAGCCAGUACCUCCACCCUUUGCUCGCGCUUGCACGGUCGUGGUGAUUUCAGCGCACUUGCAUCGCACACGGUUGAGCCAGUACCUCCACCUUAAUUUGCUCGUGCUUGCGCGGUCGUGGUGAUUCACAUUGCACUUGUAUCGCACACGGUUAAGAUAUUAUACCCCGUGUCCGUUGAGGGUCAUCAGAGUCUUUGCAGCAAAAAAAUAACGUUAGGGAGGGUCAAAAGACAGUCACACCAGCAUGUGGCCCAAAUAUAUAUGAGUGAAAAGGGUGGUAUGUGAUGUUCAAAAUUCCAAUCCACAACUUUGACCCUGUGGGCCCAUGGUUGGGCGCGUCAUUGAAGAUCGAUGAGAGGGCCAGAAGUCAAGAACCACCUAGAAGUGGCCAAAUAUAUGUACGAAUAUUGGGGAUGUUUAAAACUUUAAAUACACAAUGCAUAACUUUGGUGGCACCCACCUCGCAAACCCGAAAGCACCCUAACAACCACCUAGCUAGGAUAUAUAUAAUGACAUAAUGUCGUACCUAGCUAGGAUGCUGGGCCCACCACCUCACACUUCGUGUCAGCGGGGCGGAUGCACGUAAUGAUCGAUACUUUGGUCAUACAUGCAUGUCACCAUGACCUACCGUAAGACGGACCAAUGAAUCUUUCGUUUGGUCAAAUGACAGUUGUUGUUGUCGAUAAACUGCUUGGGCCAAUAGAUUGAACCAUCAUAAACAUCGCACGAGAGGGACCACAAAACUAGCACCUCGUGCAUGCGGCCCAAAAUGAUGUACGUUGGGAAGGGGUGAUGUGUGUUUUCAAUAUAGAAUAAUGUACAAUUUAGAUGUGGUGCCUACCUCUCGAUACAGACAACAACCAUGAAGGCAAGGUAGUUAAGGACGAGAUACGUACGCAGGGUUUGAUGUAGGUCAAACCCAGCAAUCCGAGCAUCUGGGAGGGGAUCCUGACAAUGCAUGAGCUCGAUCUUUGGUUGACCGACAUUUGACGGUGACCGGCCCUAACAUGAACUAGGAGGAAUCCAUUCAUGGCCAACACAUACCCCUCAUUAUCGUUCAAAGGGAUGAUAUAUAUACACUCGGGGAGCCCACAGAUAUCCGUGUUGUCACAAAAAACCGCACAAGGGAGACGUGGUCAAUCAGAAGACUCCGUAUACACUGCAUGCGGCCCGAAAAUAUGUAUGGGUACGAUGGUGUAUGAUGUGUUUAAAUCCCAAAUGCACAACUUCGAUGGGCCACGCCAAGUACAUUACAAACCAAACACCGUACCCGACUCCAAGCCUGGUUCGAUACCUAUGAUGUCAGUUUCCCAACUUUGAGGCGGCAGCGGGGGGGUCGUCCCACGCAUGCGCUCAAACUUUAUUUUGUCUAGCAUGGGACACAUCUAUAUAUGUCUAUACAUCUAUACACCUAUAUAGUGUGCGAAUAAAUAUGAAAGUUGCCCGUUGGAUGAAGCCAAUCCGAUGGUACAAAGAUGGCAAAUCCGAGCACUACUGGCCGUUGGAUAUCAUCUACAUUCCACCAGAUUCUACCACAUGUACAAUCUAGAAGACUCCAUGGUUGAACUUAAGCACAAUGCACAAACCUCAAAACACAAGCACUUCUCCUUUGUUCUCUAGAAUCUUCCAUAUCUUAAUUGCCCAAACCUUUUUUUUUCUAAAUGAAUUGUCACUUUUUGUUUUUACCUUUACAAUGCACAAUUCCAUGAAUCUUAAAAUAGUUUUUUUAUAAAACUAAUUGAUUUUGGAUGAGAUGAACUAUUAAACGAACAUCUACAUCAUGCAUAUCUGGGAGAAGAGGCGGGAAGCCAAUGAGAGGAGUGGCGAGAAACGGUAGCCUGUUUUGAAUGAAAACCUAGUAGAGAAGGAAGCGUGAGCUACACGACGCAUGCGCACAGUGCUUACCCAUGUACUGCAUGUGUAGUCGAAAGGGCUCAAGGUUGUCGUUCGAUCUGGGAGCAUCCAACGGUGCACACGUACGAUCCGUGGGGUUUGGGUUCUGGCCAGUCAGAACGCAGGACUCAGAUCGCGCGCGCAACGCGGGGGGUAUCAUACGGAAACCAACAUUCUGUGGAAACCGGUGAAAACGACGAGAAAAAGAUGUUUUGAAGUUUCAAAAAAAAUUCAAAAAAAUGCAGGAUGUUAAGAGGAUGAUGUUUUAUUGGCACACAAAAUUUCAAGUUGAAACACAUUACGAGAUGUGAGCUAUGAAAAAGACAAAAUCAGUGUUGAAUAGUGUUGAAUAGUAAUGUCACUAUUCAGGGCGGAAUUUGUCUUUUUCAUAGCUCACAUCUCGUAAUGUUUUUCAACUUGAAAUUUUGUGUCGCAAUAAAACAUCGCCUUCUUGACAUCCCACAUUUUUUCAGAUUUUUAUGAAACUUUAAAAUAUGGUUUCCAUGAAGUUUUCAUUGAAUAUCGGCUUUCGUGAGUGAACCGUGUGCUCUUUGAAAACAUUUUGUGAGAAGAAUCUCGGUUUUUAAAUCCCCGUAAAUCCAAAACUAAGUUGAAAAUCGUGAAAGAUGCCAUGGUGUCACGAUAUCGCACUUAUAUGUCGAGGAAUUUUUUUCGUCCAUUGUGGCGCAAGUUUUAUUACAAGCCUCUUACAAACUGGAGCUUCUCUCAAAGAAGCCUCGUGGUUCCGAUAGGGAAACGUGUCCCCCUUGUGGGCGAAACGUAAUCACUGCCUCUUUUCACCUUGUAUUUUCUUCUACGGGUGACAUGGAACGACAUGAUAGUUGUGCUGAAAUUUAAACUUAUUCAGGGUUCGUUUGGCCUUUUUAUACACUAAUUGAGUUUCCUAGGCAUUUAAUGUCCAUAAUUCAAAUCUGAACUACAAAUACAUGCUCCAGUUCACCAAAAUGGCUAGAAAAAUUAUACAUGUGUCCUUGGGUGCAUGUUUAGGUCCCAUGCCAGGAAUGGGAACGAAUUACAACCGUACUGGUGUCAUGGCUCGUACUCAAACAUUUCGAAUCUCGGUUUUUAAGUCCCCAUAAAUGCUAAACUCACCAGAAAGUCAUCAAAGAUGGCAUGGUGUCGCGUCAUGGCACAUAUAUGUCGUGGUAAAAACAUUAUCCAAUUUGGGCCAAGCUUUAUUACAAACCUCUUACAAAAACUGGAGCUUCUCUCAAAGAAGCCUCGUGGUUCCGAUAGGGAAACGUGUCCCCCUUGUGGGCGAAACAUAAUCACUGCCUCUUUUCGCCUUGUAUUUUCUUCCACGGGCAACAUGGAAUGACAGGAUAUCCGUGCUAAAAUUUAAACUUAUUCAGGGUUCGUUUGGCCUUUUUAUACACUAAUUGAGUUUCCUAGGCAUUUAAUGUCCAUAAUUCAAAUCUGAACUACAAAUACAUGCUACAGUUCACCAAAAUGGCUAGAAAAUUUAUACAUGUGUCCUUGGGUGCAUGUUUAGGCCUCAUGCCAGGAAUGGGAACGAAUUACAACCGUACCAGUGUCCUGCCUCGUCCUCAAACAUUUUGAAUCUCGGUUUUUAAGUCCCCAUAAAUCCUAAACUCACCAGAAAGUCAUCAAAGGUGGCAUGGUGUCACGUCAUGGCACAUAUAUGUCAUGGUAAAAACAUUGCCAAUUUGGGCCAAGCUUUAUUACAAAUCUCUUACAAACCGGAGCCUGUCGCAAGAACCCUCGUGGUUUCGAUAGGGAAACGUGUCCCCUUAUGGGCCAAAAGAUAAUCACUCCCUCUUCUAGCCUCGUAUUUUCUUCUACACGCGACACGGAACAACUGGAGAUUCAUGCUGAACUUUGAAAUUAUUCAGGGUUCGUUUGACCUUUUUUUAUUCAUUAAUUGAGUUUUCUAGGCAUUUAAUGUCCAUCAUUCAAAUCCGAACUACAAAUACAUGCUCCAGUGCACCAAAAUGGCUAGAAAAAAUUCACAUGUUUCUUUGGGGUGCAUAUUUAGGUCCCAUGGAACGAAUGGGAACGAAUUCAACUGUCUCGCCGUCCUGGCCUGGCCACAAACAUUGCGAAUCUUGGUUUUUAAAUGUCUGUAAAUCCAAAACUCACCAGGAAAUCAUGAAACUUGGCAUGGUGUCACUACAUGGUAUAUAUAAUUGUCCAAUUUGGGCGAAGCUAUAUUACAAGCCUUUUACAAACCGGAGCCUCUCGCAACCCUCGUGGUUCCGGUAGGGAAACAUGCCCCUCUUGUGGGCAAAACGAUAAUCGAUGCCUCUUCUCGCCUUGAACUUUGUUUUCUAUAGGCAACAUAGAAUAACAGGAGUGUCGGGAUGAAAUUUGAAACUGUUCAGGGUUCAUUUGGCCAUUGUAUAUAUAUUACUAAUUACUAAGUUUUCUGUGCAUUUAAUGUAGUCCAUAAUUCAAAUUUGAACUACAACCACAUGCUCUAGUGAAGCAAAACGGGUGGGAAAUCAUACAUGUGUCAUUGGGUGCAUGUUUAGGUCUCGUUUAAGGAAUGAGAAUGAAUUACAAACCUGUCGUUGUCCUGAAACAAUGAGAAUCUCGGUUUUUAAAUCCCAGUAAAUAAAAAAGUCACCCAAAAAAAUGAAACUUGGCAUGGUUUCAUGACAUGGCAAUCACAUAUAUGUCGUGGUAAAAAAAUCGUCCAGUUUGAGAAGAGGCGCACACAUUAGUAGCCAACGAAGUCCUUUUUGAAACAAAAAGAUGACACGUUAAUAUCGCAAACCGUUGUAUUAUAUUUACCGUGUCGAAAUUUAACCAUACUCGAUGCCGUGCGUGCAGCUGUUUGAUUAGACGGGACGAGCGCGAGAAUUCCGCCGUGCAGGUUCGACGGGAUGCGUGCGAGUAGUCUGUCGCGCAGGCUCGACGGGACGCAUGCAUCCUGUCCACCUUGCAGGCUCGACGGGACACGUGCGAGCAGCAAGGCCGCCCAUGCUCACCGGGAAGUGAGCUCUUUGACCUCCAUGCACCAGCCGCCACCCGCCUCGCUCACAACUUCUCCAUUAAUGGGUUAAUUAAAGCACCUGGACGGAGGGUGUUUGCUUGUGAUCCCAUGGCAGCAUUUGCUUUGUUCGUGUUUUCAACUCAUAUUCCGCCCUAAUUUAAAUUGCCACAUAGGGCAACGGAUAAUAUGACCACAAAUAAAAUGGCAACAGAUAAUACGACGACAAAUUUACAAUGGCGCAGAUAAUAAUUGUACUCUUACAUAUCCGGAUAAUUUAAAAUGCCACAUGCGGCAAAGCCUGGAAGACACGGGGCAAAGAGAAGAAGGAAAUUGCAGACAACGAUCUGGGUCGGUACUGUCUCUACUCGUCGAUGGAUCGCCGAGCGGCGAAAUCCUCCAGAUCCUUCUUCAAUUCCUCACGACUUUGCUUGAAAGCAGCCACGGAUUCCUCCACCUCCUGCUCGCGCUCGAUCCGGAGCUUCCUCAAGCCACCCAUCAGUUCCUCAACGACCACUUUUAGUGUUAUCUCCGAGGCACUGCUCUGCUCAUGCAGCAUCUUCCAGCCGGCGGCCUCCUCCUCCUUCUCGGUGACCAACUUAAGGAGCUUCGCAUUGUCAUCCAUGAGUUGCUCGACGAGGCCGGUCGCCUUGUCAACCGAGGCAUCGCUGAUCUUGAGUAGCUUCAUCAAGCCGUCGACCAGCUCCUGCUGCGUAGUGACGCCAGCGAGAAUGUCGUCGUCGCCGGCGAAGGACUUCAGGAAUGCCGGCUCGUCGCGAUGGUCGACGCCGCGAAUGCGCUUGUGAGAGCCCUCGCGUGCCCGUGAGAGCUCGUUCGAGGGCUCCGCGGCGCGCUGGGACAUCUCUGCUGCAGCCGCGGCUUCACGGCGGGACCUCUCUAGUGCUUCUGUGGCCUUGGUCUUUGCUGCCUGGUUAUAUGUCCACCCUAAACUCCUCCUACCGGUCAUGGCGGAACGACUUGACAGAAAAAACCAGUUUUGUGGGUGAUGAGGAGAGGAACUGUGAAGUAAUUUUCGAGUGGGUAGUUUUUAUAGCCCGGUGCUAAGUGUGAACACAUAUUAGUUUGAUAGGUGUGAACAGAUUUGCAAUUACUUAUUGCGUUGUAAUCAGCAAUGUGACGAGAAACAAGGUCAAAAUUUAUUGAUGGCAGAAGGUUGACCACGUGGUUGCUCGCCGUUGAGGCAGCCGCGGCGCGCUCCGCUCUGGCGUCCCUGCGCGCGCUCUGCUCACCGUUGAGGCAAAGUUACAAUGGCAAUGGUUAAUAAUUCUUAAUAAUUGUCUUACAUAUCCAGGAUAAUUUAAAUUGCCAAAUGCGGUAAGGCCCAUAACACUCUCGACCUACAUAUGCACACAAUUAUAAUAAAAUAUAAGCUAAAAGGUUGAGCCGGCGGCCUUCCGAUGAUGGUCUUCUCGGACUCCAUGAUCAGCAUAGCACCCUUGCGGCCGUUCACUCCGAGUGUCCCGACCUGCCUCCGCCUACGGAGCUGCUGGCGCUGGGAGGCUAUUGGGGCUGGUGGGCCUCUUCCAGAAGAGCUUGACAGCAUGCAAUCGCGUGCAUGACAACUCCAUGGAACCGCUCCAUUUCCAUGUCUCUGGCCUGGUAGCAAAUUCCGUCGAUCACCUGCAUCCUCAAGAUAUCACGUUGGCGAUGUUCUACUUCGUCGGGGACGUCAACUCCGCCAAGGAUGCGCUCGAGCCUGGCCACCACAUCAUCGGGAUCAAGGUUGACAUGGCCGCCGUGGGCAAUGAUGAAGCCGCAGGCUGCCUUUGUCUUGACUGAAUCGCGGAGGUCCUCCGCCCAUUCCUUGCGGGGCAUCAGGCUCUCGAUGAGCACUGGUGACAGCAGUUCUUCGGGUGGGUCGUCGAUCAUGCCGCCGAGCAGCUCUGGAUCUUUUGCACGGUGGAUGCAAACUGUUCAUCACACCUCCUCUGCAAUAUGUCGAUUGUGCUCCCAAGGACUGUGAUGCCGAUAUCGCUGCCGAUGGGCCAUGGUGCUUGCAUCGGCCGAUGAAGCUCUUGCUCCUCGACCUGCUCCGGCUCGUUCUCCUCGCCGAAGAUGUAAUGCAGGUAGGUGUCGACGUCGAAGCUUUGGUCGUUGCCUGGCAUGCUUGGAAUAACUAAUGGUAGAUGGGUGAGGACUAGAUCUUCAUAGAUUGUCGCGGCGGUGCGUUGCCGCCUGGGUUAUAUGCAGCAAGCCAUUACCUGGUGGUGGGAAACCGGUGAGGGAAUAGGCGUGGAUUUUACAAUUCACCCAUGUGGAGCGCGGGAAGCAUUCGCUCGAGCGCGGGAAGACUAAGUGGAGCACACACAGAACAUGAAUACCGUAUCCGCUGCCACGUGUUAUUUAUCACACAAGUGUUAACAUAAGGAAAUGCAUGUGUAACUUACUAAUCAUCGCACAUGAGUACUCGCAGACACAUCGUGUGCGAUACUCCUACCAACCGCAAGCAACUAGUUUGCAUUUUUAGAGUUUUUUGUACACACAGAAUCACACACGAACUAACUGUAUUAACCGUCUGUGUUGUAAAUUCUCAUCGCAAACAGUUCAUCCGAGUCGCCUGUUUGCCAUGUAUCACACACAUAUUGUUAAGUUGAACAGCUUUUGUUGCGUUCGCUAAUCGAAAACAGUUCGUCCGAGUGAACCGUAUGCCCUAUAUCACACACACCUUGAUCUGGCUAACCCUUUAUGUUGCACUCCCUAAUAGCAAACGGUUCAUCGGAGCAAACUGUAUGCCGUAUAUCGCACACAUAUUGAUAUGGCUGCCCGUUUCUGUUGUUCUGCCUCAUCACAAACAGUUCGAACGGUUUAACCGUGUGCCCUAUAUCGCACACGCAACUAAAAUCUGAACCGUGUUUGAUGUGUCCUCCAUCGCAAACACUUUAUACAUUUCUGACGGUUUUCAUACACCACCGUUUGCGAUUAUGGCACGCACACAGUUUCUUGAAGGGUCUCUGAUCGUAGUGUCGCGUUAGCAGCAUCCUGCAGUAGUGUUCCUCGAGCCUCCACCAGCAACUGUUCAUCCACCGUCGACUUCCUCCAGCCUCCACCAGCUACUGUUCAUCCACGGGCUACUGUUCAUCCAGCCUCCACCAGCUACUGUUCAACCAGCCCUCCACGGGGUCCUCUUCAUCCACCCCCACUUCCUCGAUCGGGGUCAUGUUCAUCCAGCGGCAACGGCCUCUACUACCACGGGGUCCUUGUUGGGGAACGUAGUAAUUUCAAAAAAAAUCCUACGCACACGCAAGAUCAUGGUGAUGCAUAGCAACGAGAGGGGAGAGUGUUGUCCACGGACCCUCGUAGACCGACAGCGGAAGCGUUAUCACAACGCGGUUGAUGUAGUCGUACGUCUUCAUGAUCCGACCGAUCAAGUACCGAACGCACGGCACCUCCGAGUUCUACACACGUUCAGCUCGAUGACGUCCCUCAAACUCCGAUCCAGCCGAGUGUUGAGGGAGAGUUUCGUCAGCACGACGGCGUGGUGACGAUGAUGAUGUUCCACCGACGCAGGGCUUCGCCUAAGCUCUGCAACGGUAUUAUCGAGGUGUAAUAUGGUGGAGGGGGCACCGCACACGGCUAAGAGAUCUCAAGGAUCAAUUGUUGUGUCCAUGGGGUGCCCCUUGCCCCCGUAUAUAAAGGAGCAAGGGAGGAGGAGGCUGGCCCUAGGAGGGGGCGCACCAAGUGUGGAGUCCUACUUGGACUCCCUAGUCCUAGUAGGAUUCCACCUCCCAUAUGGAAUAGGAAAAGAGGAAGGGAAAAAGAGAAGGAAGGAAGGGGGCGCCCCCCUUCCCUAGUCCAAUUCGGACCAGACCAAGGGGAGGGGUGCGGCCACCCUUGAGGCCCUUUUCCUUCUUUCCCGUAUGGCCCAAUAAGGCCCAAUACGUAUUCCCGUAACUCUCCGGUACUCCGAAAAAUACCCGAAUCACUCGGAACCUUUCCGAUGUCCGAAUAUAGUCGUCCAAUAUAUCGAUCUUUACGUCUCGACCAUUUCGAGACUCCUCGUCAUGUCCCCGAUCUCAUCCGGGACUCCGAACUCCUUCGGUACAUCAACAUACAUAAACUCAUAAUAAAACUGUCAUCGUAACUUUAAGCGUGCAGACCCUACGGGUUCGAGAACUAUGUAGACAUGACCGACACACGUCUCCGGUCAAUAACCAAUAGCGGGACCUGGAUGCCCAUAUUGGCUCCCACAUAUUCUACGAAGAUCUUUAUCGGUCAGACCGCAUAACAACAUACGUUGUUCCCUUUGUCACCGGUAUGUUACUUGCCCGAGAUUUGAUCGUCGGUAUCUCGAUACCUAGUUCAAUCUCGUUACCGGCAAGUCUCUUUACUCGUUCCGUAACACAUCAUCCCGCAACUAACUCAUUUACUCACAAUGCUUGCAAGGCUUAUAGUGAUGUGCAUUACCGAGUGGGCCCAGAGAUACCUCUCCGACAAUCGGAGUGACAAAUCCUAAUCUCGAAAUACGCCAACCCAACAAGUACCUUUGGAGACACCUGUAGAGCACCUUUAUAAUCACCCAUUUACGUUGUGACGUUUGGUAGCACACAAAGUGUUCCUCCGGUAAACGGGAGUUGCAUAAUCUCAUAGUCAUAGGAACAUGUAUAAGUCAUGAAGAAAGCAAUAGCAACAUACUAAACGAUCGAGUGCUAAGCUAACGGAAUGGGUCAAGUCAAUCACGUCAUUCUCCUAAUGAUGUGAUCUCGUUAAUCAAAUGACAACUUAUGUCUAUGGCUAGGAAGCAUAACCAUCUUUGAUUAACGAGCUAGUCAAGUAGAGGCAUACUAGUGACACUCUGUUUGUCUAUAUAUUCACACAUGUAUUAUGUUUCCGGUUAAUACAAUUCUAGCAUGAAUAAUAAACAUUUAUCAUGAUACAAGGAAAUAAAUAAUACUUUAUUAUUGCCUCUAGGGCAUAUUUCCUUCAGUCUCCCACUUGCACUAGAGUCAAUAAUCUAGUUCACAUCGCCAUGUGAUUUAACAUCAAUAGUUCACAUCACCAUGUGAUUAACACCCAUAGUUCACAUCGUCAUGUGACCAUCACCCAAAGGGUUUACUAGAGUCAGUAAUCUAGUUCACAUCGCUAUGUGAUUAACACCCAAAGAGUACUAAGGUGUGAUCAUGUUUUGCUUGUGAGAUAAUUUUAGUCAACGGGUCUGUCACAUUCAGAUCCGUAAGUAUUUUGCAAAUUUCUAUGUCUACAAUGCUCUGCAUGGAGAUACUCUAGCUAAUUGCUCCCACUUUCAAUAUGUAUCUAGACCGAGACUUAGAGUCAUCUAGAUUAGUGUAAAAACUUGCAUCGACGUAACCCUUUACGACAAGCCUUUUUUCACUUCCAUAAUCGAGAAACAUAUCCUUAUUCCAGUAAGGAUAAUUUUGACCGCUGUCCAGUGAUCUACUCCUAGAUCACUAUUGUACUCCCUUGCCAAAAUCAGUGUAGGGUAUACAAUAGAUCUGGUACACAGCAUGGCAUACUUUAUAGAACCUAUGGCCGAGGCAUAGGGAAUGACUUUCAUUCUUUUUCUAUCUUCUGCCGUGGUCGGGUUUUGAGUCUUACUCAAUUUCACACCUUGUAACACAGGCAAGAAACUCUUUCUUUGACUGUUUCAUUUUGAACCACUUUAAAAUCUUGUUAAGGUAUGUACUCAUUGAAAAAACUUAUCAAGCGUCUUGAUCUAUCUCUAUAGAUCUUGAUGCUCAAUAUGUAAGUACCUUCACCGAGGUCUUUCUUUGAAAAACUCCUUUCAAACACUCCUUUAUGCUUUGCAGAAUAAUUCUACAUUAUUUCCGAUCAACAAUAUGUCAUUCACAUAUACUUAUCAGAAAUGUUGUAGUGCUCCCACUCACUUUCUUGUAAAUACAGGCUUCACCGCAAGUCUGUAUAAAACUAUAUCCUUUGAUCAACUUAUCAAAGCGUAUAUUCCAACUCCGAGAUACUUGCACCAGUCCAUAGAUGGAUCGCUGGAGCUUGCAUAUUUUGUUAGCACCUUUAAGAUUGACAAAACCUUCUGGUUGCAUCAUAUACAACUCUUCUUUAAUAAAUCCAUUAAGGAAUGCAGUUUUGUUUAUCCAUUUGCCAGAUUUCAUAAAAUGCGGCAAUUGCUAACAUGAUUCGGACAGACUUAAGCAUCGCUGCGAGUGAGAAAAUCUCAUCGUAGUCAACACCUUGAACUUUGUCAAAAACCUUUUUCCAACAAGUCUAGCUUUGUAGAUAGUAACACUACUAUCAGCGUCCGUCUUCCUCUUGAAGAUCCAUUUAUUUUCUAUGGCUUGCCGAUCAUUGGGCAAGUCAAUCAAAGUCCAUACUUUGUUCUCAUACAUGGAUCUCAUCUCAGAUUUCAUGGCUUCAAGCCAUUUUGCGGAAUAUGGGCUCACCGUCGCUUCUUCAUAGUUCGUAGGUUCGUCAUGGUCUAGUAACAUAACAUCCAGAACAGGAUUACCGUACCACUCUGGUGCGAAUCUUACUCUGGUUUACCUACGAGGUUUGGUAGUAACUUGAUCUGAAGUUACAUGAUCAUCAUCAUUAACUUCCUCACUAAUUGGUGUAGGAGUCACGGGAACAGAUUUCUGUGAUGAACUACUUUCCAAUAAGGGAGCAGGUACAGUUACCUCAUCAAGUUCUACUUUCCUCCCACUCACAUCUUUCGAGAGAAACUCCUUCCAUACUUAGCAACGAAUGUCUUGCCUUCGGAUCUGUGAUAGAAGGUGUACCCAACUGUCUCCUUUGGGUAUCCUAUGAAGACACAUUUCUCCGAUUUGGGUUUGAGCUUAUCAGGAUGAAACUUUUUCACAUAAGCAUCGCAACCCCAAAAUUUUAAGAAACGACAACUUUGGUUUCUUGCCAAACCACAGUUCAUAAGGCGUCGUCUCAACGGAUUUUGAUCGUGCCCUAUUUAACGUGAAUGCAGCUGUCUCUAAUGCAUAACCCCCAAAACGAUUAGUGGUAAAUUGGUAUGAGACAUCAUAGAUUGCACUAUAUCCAAUAAAGUACGGUUAUGACGUUCGGACACACCAUUAUGCUGUGGUGUUCCAGGUGGCUUGAAUUUGUGAAACUAUUCCACAUUGUUUUAACUAAAGGCCAAACUCGUAACUUAAAUACUCUUCUCCACGAUCAGAUCGUAGAAACUUUGUUUUCUUGUUACGAUGAUUUUCUGCUUCUCUCUGAAAUUAUAUGAACUUUUCAAAUGUUUCAGACUCUUGUUUCAUUAAGUAGAUAUACCCAUAUCUGCUCAAAUCAUCUAUGAAGGUCAGAAAAUAAUGAUACCUGCUACGAGCCUCAAUAUUCAUCAGACCACAUACAUCUGUAUGUAUGAUUUCCAACAAAUCUGUUGCUCUCUCCAUAGUUCCGGAGAACGGCGUUUUAGUCAUCUUGCCCAUGAGGCACGGUUCGCAAGCAUCAAGUGAUUCCAAAAUCCCAUCAGUAUGGAGUUUCUUCAUGCGCUUUACACCAAUAUGACCUAAACGGCAUGCCACAAAUAAGUUGCACUAUCAUUAUUAACUUUGCAUCUUUUGGCUUCAAUAUUAUGAAUAUGUGUAUCACUACGAUCGAGAUCCAACAAACCAUUUUCGUUGGUGUGUAUGACCAUAGAAGGUUUUAUUCAUGUAAACAGAACAACAAUUGUUCUUUAAUUUAAAUGAAUAACCGUAUUGCAAUAAACAUGAUCAAAUCAUAUUCAUGCUCAACGCAAACACCAAAUAACACUUAUUUAGUUUCAACACUAAUCCCGAAAGUACAGGGAGUGUGCGAUGAUGAUCAUAUCAAACUUGGAACUACUUCCAACACACAUCGUCACCUCGCCUUUUACUAGUCUCUAUUUAUUCUGCAACUCCCGUUUCGAGUUACUACUCUUAGCAACUGAACCAGUAUCAAAUACCGAGGGGUUGCUAUAAACACUAGUAAAGUACACAUCAAUAACAUGUAUAUCCAAUAUACCUUUGUUCACUUUGCCAUCCUUCUUAUCCACCAAAUAGUUGGGGUAGUUCCGCUUCCAGUGACCAGUCCCUUUGCAGUAGAAGCACUUAGUCUCAGGCUUAGGUACAGACUUGGGCUUCUUCACUUGAGUAGCAACUUGCUUGCCGUUCUUUUGAAGUUCCCCUUCUAUCCCUUUUCCCUUUUCUUGAAACUAGUGGUCUCGUCAACCAUCAACACUUGAUGUUUUUCUUAAUUUCUACCUUCGUCGAUUUCAGCAUCACGAAGAGCUCGGGAAUUACUUUCGCCAUCCCUUGCAUACUAUAGUUCAUCACGAAGUUCUACUAACUUGGUGAUGGUGACUAGAGAAUUCUGUCAAUCACUAUUUUAUCUGGAAGAUUAACUCCCACUUGAUUCAAGCGAUUGUAGUACCCAGACAAUCUGAGCACAUGCUCACUAGUUGAGCGAUUCUCCUCCAUCUUUUAGCUAUAGAACUUGUUGGAGACUUCAUAUCUCUCAACUCGGGUAUUUGCUUGAAAUAUUAACUUCAACUCCUGGAACAUCUUAUAUGGUCCAUGACGUUCAAAACGUCUUUGAAGUCCCGAUUCUAAGCCGUUAAGCAUGGUGCACUAAACUAUCAAGUAGUCAUCAUAUUGAGCUAGCCAAACGUUCAUAACGUCUGCAUCUGCUCCUGCAAUAGGUCUGUCACCUAGCGGUGCAUCAAGGACAUAAUUUUUCUGUGCAGCAAUGAGGAUAAUCCUCAGAUCACGGAUCCAAUCCGCAUCUUUGCUACUAACAUCUUUCAACAUAAUUUUCUCUAGGAACAUAUCAAAAAUAAAACAGGGAAGCAACAACGCGAGCUAUUGAUCUACAACAUAAUUUGCAAAAUACUAUCAGGACUAAGUUCAUGAUAAAUUUAAGUUCAAUUAAUCAUAUUACUUAAGAACUCCCACUUAGAUAGACAUCCCUCUAAUCUUCUAAGUGAUCACGUGAUCCAUAUCAACUAAACCAUGUCCGAUCAUCACGUGAGAUGGAGUAGUUUCAACGGUGAACAUCACUAUGUUGAUCAUAUCUACUAUAUGAUUCACGCUCGACCUUUCGGUCUCCGUGUUCCGAGGCCAUAUCUGUUAUAUGCUAGGCUCGUCAAGUUUAACCUGGGUAUUCCGCGUGUGCAACUGUUUUGCACCCGUUGUAUUUGAACGUAGAGCCUAUCACACCCGAUCAUCACGUGGUGUCUCAGCACGAAGAACUUUCGCAACGGUGCAUACUCAGGGAGAACACUUAUACUUUGAUAAUUUAGUGAAGGAUCAUCUUAUAAUGCUACCGUCAAACAAAGCAAGAUAAGAUGCAUAAAGGAUUAACAUCACAUGCAAUCAAUAUAAGUGAUAUGAUAUGGCCAUCAUCAUCUUGUGCUUGUGAUCUCCAUCUCCGAAGCACCGUCAUGAUCACCAUCGUCACUGACGCGACACCUUGAUCUCCAUCGUAGCAUCGUUGUCGUCUCGUCAAUCUUAUGCUUCUACGACUAUCGCUACCGCUUAGUGAUAAAGUAAAGCAUUACAUGGCGAUUGCAUUGCAUACAAUAAAACGACAACCAUAUGGCUCCUGCCAGUUGCCGAUAACUUGGUUACAAAACAUGAUCAUCUCAUACAACAAAUUAUAUCACACCAUGUCUUGACCAUAUCACAUCACAACAUGCCCUGCAAAAACAAGUUAGACGUCCUCUACUUUGUUGUUGCAAGUUUUACGUGGCUGCUACGGGCUUAGCAAGAACCGUUCUUACUUACGCAUCAAAACCACAACGAUAGUUUGUCAAGUUGGUGCUGUUUUAACCUUCGCAAGGACCGGGCGUAGCCACACUCGGUUCAACUAAAGUGAGAGAGACAGACACCCGCCGGUCACCUUUAAGCAACGAGUGCUCGCAACGGUGAAACCAGUCUCGCAUAAGCGUACGCGUAAUGUCGGUCCGGGCCGCUUCAUCUCACAAUACCGCUGAACCAAAGUAUGACAUGCUGGUAAGCAGUAUGACUUAUAUCGCCCACAACUCACUUGUGUUCUACUCGUGCAUAGCAUCAACGCAUAAAACCAGGCUCGGAUGCCACUGUUGGGGAACGUAGUAAUUUCAAAAAAAUUCCUACGCACACGCAAGAUCAUGGUGAUGCAUAGCAACGAGAGGGGAGAGUGUUGUCCACGUACCCUCGUAGACCGACAGCGGAAGCGUUAUCACAAUGCGGUUGAUGUAGUCGUACGUCUUCACGAUCCGACCGAUCAAGUACCGAACGCACGGCACCUCCGAGUUCUACACACGUUCAGCUCGAUGACGUCCCUCGAACUCCGAUCCAGCCGAGUGUUGAGGGAGAGUUUCAUCAGCACGACGGCGUGGUGACGAUGAUGAUGUUCCACCGACGCAGGGCUUCGCCUAAGCUCCGCAACGGUAUUAUCGAGGUGUAAUAUGGUGGAGGGGGGCACCGCACACGGCUAAGAGAUCUCAAGGAUCAAUUGUUGUGUCCAUGGGGUGCCCCCUGCCCCCGUAUAUAAAGGAGCAAAGGAGGAGGAGGCCGGCCCUAGGAGGGGGCGCACCAAGUGUGGAGUCCUACUUGGACUCCCUAGUCCUAGUAGGAUUCCACCUCCCAUAUGGAAUAGGAAAAGAGGAAGGGAAAAAGAGAAGGAAGGAAGGGGGCGCCCCCCUUCCCUAGUCCAAUUCGGACCAGACCAAGGGGAGGGGUGCGGCCACCCUUGAGGCCCUUUUCCUUCUUCCCCGUAUGGCCCAAUAAGGCCCAAUACGUAUUCCCGUAACUCUCCGGUACUCCGAAAAAUACCCGAAUCACUCGGAACCUUUCCGAUGUCCGAAUAUAGUCGUCCAAUAUAUCGAUCUUUACGUCUCGACCAUUUCGAGACUCCUCGUCAUGUCCCCGAUCUCAUCCGGGACUCCGAACUCCUUCGGUACAUCAACAUACAUAAACUCAUAAUAAAACUGUCAUUGUAACUUUAAGCGUGCGGACCCUACGGGUUCGAGAACUAUGUAGACAUGACCGACACACGUCUCCGGUCAAUAACCAAUAGCGGGACCUGGAUGCCCAUAUUGGCUCCCAUAUAUUCUACGAAGGUCUUUAUCGGUCAGACCGCAUAACAACAUACGUUGUUCCCUUUGUCACCGGUAUGUUACUUGCCCGAGAUUUGAUCGUCGGUAUCUCGAUACCUAGUUCAAUCUCGUUACCGGCAAGUCUCUUUACUCGUUCCGUAACACAUCAUCCCGCAACUAACUCAUUUACUCACAAUGCUUGCAAGGCUUAUAGUGAUGUGCAUUACCGAGUGGGCCCAGAGAUACCUCUCCGACAAUCGGAGUGACAAAUCCUAAUCUUGAAAUACGCCAACCCAACAAGUACCUUUGGAGACACCUGUAGAGCACCUUUAUAAUCACCCAUUUACGUUGUGACAUUUGGUAGCACAUAAAGUGUUCCUCCGGUAAACGGGAGUUGCAUAUUCUCAUAGUCAUAGGAACAUGUAUAAGUCAUGAAGAAAGCAAUAGCAACAUACUAAACGAUCGAGUGCUAAGCUAACGGAAUGGGUCAAGUCAAUCACGUCAUUCUCCUAAUGAGGUGAUCUCGUUAAUCAAAUGACAACUUAUGUCUAUGGCUAGGAAACAUAACCAUCUUUGAUUAACGAGCUAGUCAAGUAGAGGCAUACUAGUGACACUCUGUUUGUCUAUAUAUUCACACAUGUAUUAUGUUUCCGGUUAAUACAAUUCUAGCAUGAAUAAUAAACAUUUAUCAUGAUACAAGGAAAUAAAUAAUACUUUAUUAUUGCCUCUAGGGCAUAUUUCCUUCAGGCCUGUUCAUCCAACCCCCACCGGGAACUGUUCAUCCAACCCCAACCACGUCUUGACUCGUUCAACCAACCCCCACGUUCACUGUUCAUCAAGAGGCAGCAGGUUCGAUCGGCUUCAGUAAGCAGUGGCAAGCAGCAGUGAUCGAUCGAUCGCUCGGGUUUAGUUAGUAGCAGUAGCAAAGGAAUCACUCGGGUUCAGUUAACAGCCAAGGGAUCGAUCACUCUGGUUCAGUAACAUAGCUAGUGCAAUCGCUCGGGUUCAAUAAGCGAAGCCUCGCUAGGGUUCACUUAGAGCCCAACGCCUCGCACACACGCGCGUACGUGUACGAGAGAAACAUGCAAUCCUCCGUGCAUCGCUCGGCCCCGCCUACCCACCAUAACCGGGAACUCCCCGAUAUUUUCCUCGCCCUCGCUUCUACCACAAACUUUUCCAUCAUGGACGGCCCAAAGAAUGUCAUGCAGGUGCGUCCCUGGCCCGCCCAGGACGAAAGGCCCAUUUUCUGUCAUGAUUUUUUGUCAUGGGAGUAGGAGCCCACUACAUAUAUGAUGAUACGUGGUUUUGUCACAAUUAUUGUCAUACAAGUGUCAUAAGGAUGACAGAAAAAAAUUUGUUCGGCCCAAAAUGUCACGGAUGUGUCUUUUUUGUAGUGAUCACAUCCCCAAACUUUAAGAAACGACAACCUAGGUUUCUUGCCAAACCAUAGUUCAUACGGUGUCAUCUCGAUGGAUUAGACAGUGCCCUAUUUAACAUGAAUGCGGCUGUCUCUAAUGCAUAACCCAAAAAAUAUAAAGGCAAAUCGGUAAGAGACAUUCAGACACACCAUUACGCUGUGGUGUUCCAGGUGGCGUGAGUUGUGAAACAAUUCCACAUUGUUUUAAAUGAAGGCCAAACUCGUAACUCAAAUAUUCGCCUCCGCGAUCGGAUCGUGGAAACUUUAUUUUCUUAUUACGAUGAUUCUCCACUUCACUCUGAAAUUCUUCGAACUUUUCAAAUAUUUCAGAUUUGUGUUUCAUCAAGUAGAUAUACCCAUACCUACUCAAAUCAUCUGUGAUGAUCAGAAUAUAACGAUACCUGCCGCGUGCCUCAACACUCAUUGGACCGCAUACAUCGGUAUGUAUUAUUUCCAAUAAGUCAUUAGCUCGCUCCAUUGUUCCGGAGAACGGAGUUUUAGUCAUCUUGCCCAUGAUGCAUGGUUCGCAAGUAUCAAAUGAUUCAUAAUCAAGUGAUUCCAAAAAUCCAUUCGUAUGGAGUUUCUUCAUGCGCUUUACACCAAUAUGACCUAAACGGCAGUGCCACAAGUAUGUUGCACUAUCAUUAUUAACUUUGCCUCUUUUGGCAUUAAUAUUAUGAAUAUGUGUAUCACUACGAUCAUGGUCCAAUAAACCAUUCACAUAGGGUGUAUGACCAUAGAAGGUUUUAUUCAUGUAAACAGAACAACAAUAAUUAUCUGACUUAAAUGAAUAGCUGUAUUGCAUUAAACACAAUUUAAUCAUGUUCAUGCUCAGCGUAAACACCAAAUAACAUUUAUCUAGGCUCAACACUAAUCUCGAAGGUAGAGGGAGUGUGCGAUGGUGGUCAUAUCAAUCUUGGAAAUACUUCCAACACACAUUGUCACCUUGCCCUUUACUAGUCUCCGUUUAUUCUGCAACUUCUGUUUCGAGUUACUAAUCUUAGCAACUUAAGCGGUAUCAAAUACCCAGGGGCUACUACGAUGUACUAGUAAGAUACACAUCAAUAACAUGUAUAUCAAAUAUACCUUUGUUUACUUUGCCAUCCUUCUUAUCUGCCAAGUAUUUGGGGCAGUUCCGCUUCCAAUGACCACUUCCUUUGCAGUAGAAGCACUCUGUUUCAGGCUUGGGUCUAACUUUGGGCUUCUUCACAGGAGCAGCAACUUGCUUGUUGUUCUUCUUGAAGUUCCCUUUCUUUCCUUGCCCUUUUCUUAAAACUGGUGGUCUUGUUAACCAUCAACACUUGAUGCUUUUUCUUGAUUUCUACCUCCGCCGAUUUCAGCAUCGCGAAGAGCUUGGGAAUCGUUUUCGUCAUCCCUUGCAUAUUAUAGUUCAUCACAAAAGCUCUAGUAGCUUGGCGAUAGUGACUGGAGAACUCUAGCAAUCAAUAUCUUAUCUGGAAGAUUAACUCUCAAUUGAUUCAAGUGAUUGUAGUACCCCAGACAUUCUGAGCACAUGCUCACUGGCUGAGCUAAUCUCCUCCAUCUUGUAGGCAAAGUAGCUGUCAGAGGUCUCAUACCUCUCAACACGGGCAUGAGCCUGAACUACCAAUUUCAGCUCUUGGAACAUCUCAUAUGUUCCAUGGCGUUCAAAACGUCUUUGGAGCCCCGAUUCUAAGCCGUAAAGCAUGGCGCACUAAACUAUCAAGUAGUCAUCAGAUCGAGCUUGCCAAACAUUCAUAAUGUCUGCAUCAGCUCCUGCAGCUGGUCUGUCAUCUACUGGUGCAUCAAGGACAUAAUUCAUCUAUGCAACAAUGAGGAUAAUCCUCGAAUCACGGACCCAGUCCGGAUUAUUGCUACCAUCAUCUUUCAACUUAGUUUUCUCUAGGGACGUAUCAAAAACAGGGGAGCUACAUCGUGAGCUAUUGAUCUACAACAUAAUAUGCAAAGACAAUUUUGACUAUGUUCAUGGUAAAUUUUAGAUCAAUUAAUCAAAUUACUAAAGAACUCCCACUUAAAUCAACAUCCCUCAAGUUGUCUAAGUGAUACAUGAUCCCAAUCAACUAAACCAUAUCCGAUCAUCACGUGAGAUGGAGUAGUCUUUAAUGGUGAACAUCUACAUGUUGAUCAUAUCUACUAUAUGACUCAUGUUCGACCUUUCGGUCUCCAGUGUUCUGAGACCAUGUCUGUACAUGCUAGACUCGUCAAGUUUAACCCAAGUAUUAUGCGCGUGUAAAACUGGCUUACACCUGUUGUAUGUGAACGUAGAGUCUAUCACACCCGAUCAUCACGAGGUGUCUCGAAACGACGAACUGUAGCAACGGUGCAUACUCAGGGAGAACACUUUUAUCUUAAAAUUAAGUGAAGGAAUCAUCUUAUAAUGUUACCGUCGAUCUAAGCAAAAUAAGAUGCAUAAAUGAUAAACAUCACAUGCAAUCAAAAUAUGUGACAUGAUAUGGCCAUCAUCAUCUGGUGCCUUUGAUCUCCAUCUUCAAAGCAAUGUUAUGAUCUCCAUCAUCAUCGGCUCGACACCUUGAUCUCUAUCGUUGCGCUGGGGUCGUCUCGCCAACUAUUGCUUCUACAACUAUUGCUAACGCAUAGCGAUAUAAAGUAAAGCAAUUACAUGGCGCUUAAUGAUUGACACGCAGGUCAUACAAAAAUUAAAAGACAACCCUAAGGCUCCUGCCGGUUGUCGAUAUUACAAAACAUGAUCAUCUCAUACAACAACGUAUCUCACAUCACAUCUUGACCAUAUCACAUCACAUCAUACCCUGCAAAAACAAGUUAGAGUCCUCUACUAUGUUGUUGCAAAUUUUACUUGGCUGCUACGGGCAACUAGCAAGAACCGUUCUUACCUACGCAAAACCACAACGGUGGUUUAUCAAGUUUGUUGUUUUAACCUUCUUCAAGGACCAGCCAUAGUCAAAUUCGAUUCAACUAAAGGAAACAGACACCCGCCAGCCACCUUUAUGCAAAACAAGUUGCAUGUCAGUCGGUGGAACCGGUCUCAUGUACGUGGACAUGUAAGGUCGGUCCGGGCCACUUCAUCCCACAAUGCCGUUGAAUCAAAAUAAGACUUUGGUGGUAAGCAGUAUGACCAUCACCGCCCACAAAUCCUUUGUGCUACUUGUGCAUAUCAUCUACGCAUAGACCUGGCUCAUGAUGCCACUGUUGGGGAACAUUGCAUGGAAAACAAAAAAAUUCUACGCAACGCAAGAUCUAUCCAUGGAGAUGCAUAGCUACGAGAGGGGGAGAGCAUCUACAUACCCUUGUAGAUCGCUAAGUGGAAGCGUUUAUUACGCGGUUGAUGUAGUCGUACUCUUCGCGAUCCGAUCACGAUGCAAUCGAUCUAGUGUCGAACGGACAGCACCUCCGAGUUUAGCACACGUGCGGCUCGAUGAUGUCUCCUCCUUCUUGAUCCAGCAAGCGGGAGAGGAGAAGUAGAUGGGAUCACAACCAACACGACGGUGCGGUGGUGAUGGUGGUGGUGGAGCACCGACAGCGCUUCGCUAAGCAUUGCCGGGACGAGGCAGUGGAACUACGGAGUAACAGGAGAGAGAGAGAGAGGAGUGCCAAGGGCUUGGUGUGUCCUCUUGGGGCGCCCCUCCCCUCUCUAUAUAGGUGGAGGGGCGUGGGAAACAACCCCUCCAAGCCCUAGGGCGCAGCUAAGGGGGAGAGGACUUGGACUCCAAGUCCAAUACUAUUCCUACUAGGACUCCUUCCUGUUUUUCCUUCCCUAGCCACAUGGGCUUUUGAGGACUUGGUGCGCCUAGUGAUACGUCUCCGUCGUAUCUAUCAUUUUUUGUUGUUUCAUGCCAAUAUUUUACAACUUUCAUAUACUUUGGCAAAUUUUUAUACUAUUUUUGGGACUAACAUAUUGAUCCAGUGCCCAGUGCCAGUUCCUGUUCAUUGCAUGUUUUUUGUUUCGCAGAAUAUCCAUACCAAGCGACGUCCAAACGCGAUAAAAAUUUACGGAGAAUUAUUUUGGAGUAUAUGUGAUUUUUUGGAAUCGUAAUCAACGUGAGACGAUGCCCGAGGGGCCCACGAGCCCCAGGGGCGGCCCCUACCCAGGGCGCGCCUGGGAGGCUUGUGGCCACCCCGUAAGGCAGUUGGUGCCCUUCUGUCGCCGAAAGAAAGCUGAUAUCCGGAUAAAAAUCUAGAUAAAAUUUCAGCCCAAUCAGACUUACGGAUCUUCAGGAAUUUAAGAAAUGGUGAAAGGCCAGAAAACAGGAACGCGGAAACAGAAGGAAACAGAGAGAGAUCCAAUCUCGGAGGGGCUCCCACCCCUCCGCCGCCAUGGAGGCCAAGGACCAGAGGUAAAACCCUCCUCCCAUCUAGGGGGGAGGCCAAGGAUGAAGAAGAAGGAGGGGGGCUCUCUCCCCCUCUCCCCCGAUGGCGUCGGAACGCCGCCGGGGCAAUCAUCGUGUGACGGCGAUCUACUCCAACAACUCCGUCACCAUCACCAACACCUCCAUUACCUUCCCCCAUCUAUCUACAGUAGUCCACUCUCCCGCAACCCGUUGUACCCUCUACUUGAACAUGGUGCUUUAUGCUUCAUAUUAUUAUCCAAAGAUGUGUUGCCAUCCUAUGAUGUCUGAGUAGAUUCUUGUUGUCCUAUCGGGUAAUUGAUGAAUUACUAUGAUUGGUUUAAUUUGCUUGUGGUUAUGUUGCUCUCCUUUGGUGCCCAUCAUAUGAGCGCGCGUGUGAAUCACACCAUAGGGUUAGUUGUAUGUUGGUAGGACUAUGCAUUGAAGGGGAAGGGUGACAGCAGCUUCAGCCUACCAUAGAAAUUGAUGCAUACGGGAUUGAAGGGGGGCCAAUAUAUAUAUAUAUAUAUAUAUAUAUAUAUAUAUAUAUAUAUAUAUAUAUAUCUUAAUGCUAUGGUUGCGUUUUACAUUAAUGAACGUUACUAGUUGUGGAUGCUUGCUAAUAGUUCCAAUCAUAAGUGCAUAGAAUUCCAAGUAAGGGAUGACAUGCUAGAAGUGGCCUCUCCCACAUAAAAACUUGCUAUCGGUCUAGUAACAUAAUCAAUUGCUAAGGGACAAUUCCGCAAAUCCUACCACCACCAAUCACACUCGUUAUACUAAGUUAAUUGUUUCUUUAUUUAAACAACACCUAACUUUUAUUUUCACGUUCUUUAUUAUUUUGCAAACCUAAACCUUUACACCUACAAGGUACUUCUAGUUUCAUACUUGUUCUAGGUAAAGCGAAUGUUAAGUAUGCGUAGAGUUGUAUCGGUGGUCGAUAGAACUUGAAGGGGAUAUAAAUUCUACCUUUAGCUCCUCGUUGGGUUCGACACUCUUAUUUAUCGAGAAAGGCUACAACUGAUCCCCUAUACUUGUGGGCUAUCACCUAGCCCAAUAAGGCCAGGGCACCUCCCCACAGCCCAUGCUAGCCCUUGGGUCGGGGUGGACCCACUUGUGGACUUCCGGACCCCUCCGGAAUCCUCCGGAACCUUUUGGAAGCUUCUCGGUACAAUACCAAAAAUAUUGCACCUUUUCUGGAACCCAAAAUAUGACUUCCUGAUACGUCUCCAACGUAUCUAUAAUUUUUGAUUGUUCCAUGUUGUUAUAUUAUCAAUCUUGGAUGUUUUAUAAUCAUUUUAUAGUCAUUUUAUAUCAUUUUUUGGUACUAACCUAUUGACAUAGUGCCAAGUGUCAGUUGCUGUUUUCUGCAUGUUUUUUACAUCACAGGAAAUCAAUAUCAGACGGAGUCCAAAUGCCACGAAAUUUUACGGAGAUUUUUUAUGGCCUAGAAGACACUUAAUGGGCCCUGGCUGCGCCUGGGGGUGCUCCGAGGAGAGCACAACCCACCAGGGCACGCCAGGAGGCCUAGACGCGCCCUGGUGGGUUGUGCCCACCUCGGGUGCCCCCCGGACUACCUCUUUGCUCUAUAAAUCCUCCAAUAUUCCAGAAACCCUAGGGGAGUCGACGAAAUAUUGAUCCAGCCGCCGCGGAGUCCAGAACCACUAGAUCCAAUCUAGACACCAUCUCGGAUGGGGUUCACCACCUCCAUUGGUGCCUCUCCGAUGAUGCGUGAGUAGUUCUUUGUAGACUUUCGGGUCCGUAGUUAUUAGCUAGAUGGCUUCCUCUCUCUCGCUGAAUUCUCAAUACAAUGGUCUCUUGGAGAUCCAUAUGAUGUAACUCUUUUGCGGUGUGUUUGUUGGGAUCUGAUGAACUUUGAGUUUAUGAUCAGUUAUAUGUUUUUAUAUACAUGAAAGUAUUUGAGUUUCUUUGAUCUCUUAUAUGCAUGAUUGCUUAUAGCCUCGUAUUUCUUCUCCGAUAUUUGGGUUUUGUUUGGCCAACUUGAUCUAUUUAUCUUGCAAUGGGAAGAGGUGCUUUGUAGUGGGUUCGAUCUUACGGUGCUUGAUCCCAGUGACACAAGGGGAACCGACACGUAUAUAUCGUUGCUACUAAGGAUAAAACGAUGGGGUCUAUCUCUACAUAGAUAGAUCUUGUCUACAUCAUUUCAUCGUUCUUAUUGCAUUACUCCAUUUUUCCAUGAACUUAAUACACUAGAUGCAUGCUGGAUAGCGGUCGAUGUGUGGAGUAAUAGUAGUAGAUGCAGGCAGGAGUCAGUCUACUAAUCUUGGACGUGAUGCCUAUAUAAUGAUCAUUGCCUGGAUAUCGUCAUGCUUAUUUGAAGUUCUAUCAAUUGCCCAACAGUAAUUUGUUCACCCACCAUUUGCUAUUUUUCUCGAGAGAAGCCACUAGUGAAACCUACGGCCCCCGGGUCUCUUUCUCAUAUAUUCGCCUUUGCGAUCUACUUUUCCUUUGCCUUUAUUUUUAGAUCUAUUACACCAAAAAUACAAAAAUACCUUGCUGCAAUUAUUCUUAUUUAUUUUAUUUGGCGUUCGACCUAUCAAUCUACUAUAAUUUCCUCACGUCUGUUUGCCCAUCCUAGGGGUGCCGCUGCCCGGAAGGGAUUGACAACCCCUUUUACACGUCGGGUUGCGAGGAUUUGUUAUCUGUGUGCAGGGGCUGUUUACGUUGUGUUGCUUGGUUCUCCUAUUGGUUCGAUAACCUUGGUUUCUUCACUGAGGGAAAUACCUACCGCCGUUGUGCUGCAUCAUCCCUUCCUCUUUGGGGAAAUACCGACGUAGCUUCCAGCCGCAUCACUUCCCACAUAUAAAUCUUUACCUCUCGAUCAUUCUGAGACUCCUCGUGACGUCUGGGAUCUCAUCCAAGACUCCGAACAAUAUUUGGUUACCACUCAUCAAAUAUCCCAAUACUACUCUAGCGCAACGAACGUUAAGCGUGCGGCCCUGCGGGUUCGAGAAUUAUGUAGUCAUGACCGAGACACCUCUCCGGUCAGUAACCAAUAGCGGGACCUGGAUGCCCAUAUUGAUUCCUACAUAUUUGUCGGCGUUCUGGGAACGGGGGUCCCCAGACUUGCCUGCCUGCGGCCCACAGCGUGGCCAAGCAGCAGGCCGUACGGCCCAUCUUCGUCAACAAGGCACCCAAGACCCUCGCGAAGGUCCAAGCCUCGCGAGGUGGACGACGCAAGACCGCCUCUGGAGUGGCCUAGCCAAGCAGGCUCACGAGGAGCGGAGAUAUCAAGGCGAGGCAAACCUCACGAGGCUUUCAUGACGUGAGCCAUGACGAACGGUACCAGGCGGGUGCCAGGCGGGCACUAGUGCGCGCAGCGUCUCUAUUUCCUCUUUGGUGCUAAGGAGGCCAGCGCAGGCGAGGAGUACCGAAGCAUCAGGCAAAGGUUGCCAUAUUGGUGCAACGAGACCAAGACCAGGAGGACGGCAAGGCGGAGGUCAACGUGGAGCCCAAGACGGCGUCACCCCAGAGCUUUUCGCAGGCGAAGACCGCUUUUGUCAGGAUAGCUUGUACUAGCUGUCCCCCUUCAAAUUUUCCCAUCGUUGUUGGCUCCCUUCCCGCUCGAUAUUUGGGAAGAGGACCAGGGCCUAUAUAAGUAGAGCUAGCCACCACAGUAGAGGCAUCGAAUCCUCACGCCACAAGUUCAUACGCACAAGAACACAACAACCUCAGGAGGUUGUUCUUCCCUUGUAUUGUUCAUCAUCAGCCCAAGAGGCAAUCCACCACCACCACACUGGAGUAGGGUAUUACACCACAACGGUGGCCCGAACCAGUAUAAACCUCGUGUCUUCCUGUGUUGCGAGUUCGUCGAGUUUGUCCGCAAGAUCUUAGCAAGCGUAGAUCGGUAGGAGGGAGAGACUUCGCGCGCACCCCAGUGUUCGAACCUUAAGGGUUUGCCGGAACCCCACAUCCGACAAUAUUCCAUGAAGAUCUUUUAUCGGUUGAACCUUUAUGACAACAUACGUGAUUCCCUUUGUCUGACGGUAUGUUACUUGCCCGGGAUUCGAUCGUGGUAUCUCUAUACCUAGUUCAAUCUUGUUACCGGCAAGUCUCUUUACACGUUUCGUAAUACAUCAUCUUGCAACUAACUCCUUAGUCACUUUGCUUGCAAGCUUCUUGUGAUGUGUAUUACCGAGAGGGACCAGAGAUACCUCUCCAUCAUACGGAGUGACAAAUCCCAAUCUUGAUUCACGCCAACUCAACAGACACCUUCGGAGAUACCUAUAGAGCAUCUUUAUGAUCACCCAGUUACGUUGUGACGUUUGAUAGCACACAAGGUAUUCCUUCGGUAUCCGGGAGUUGCAUGAUCUCAUGGUCGAAGAAACAUGUAUUUGGUAUUAAGAAAGCAGUAGCAAUAAACUGAACGAUCAUAUGCUAAGCUAACGAACGGGUCUUGUCCAUCACAUCAUUCUCCUAAUGACGUGAUCACGUCAUCAAGUGACAACUCAUGUCUAUGGUUAGGAAACCUUAACCAUCUUUGAUCAACGAGCUAGUAUAGUAGAGUCUCACUAGGGACACAGUAUUUGUUUAUGUAUUCACACAUGUAUAUAAGUUUACGGUCAAUGCAAUUCUAGCAUGAAUAAUAAACCUUUAUCAUGAUUAAGGAAAUAUAAUAAUAACCAUUUUAUUAUUGCCUCUAGGGCAUAUUUCCAUCAUUUAAUACAAUAGAUGCAUGCUGGAUAGUGAUAUGUCUCCAACGUAUCUAUAAUUUUUUAUUGUUCCAUGCUAUUAUAUUAUCAACUUUGGAUGUUUUAUAUGCAUUAAUAUGCUAUUUAUAUCAUUUUUCGGACUAACUUAUUAACCUAGUGCCCAGUGCCAGUUUAUGUUUUUCCUUGUUUUUGAGUUUCGCAGAAAAGGAAUAUCAAACGGAGUCCAAAUGGAAUAAAACUUUCGCGAUGCUUUUCCUUGGACCAGAAGACAUCCAGAAGACUUGGAGAUGAGUCAGAGGAGUCCCGAGGCGACGACAAGCCUCAGGGGCGUGCCCUAGGGGGGCGCCCUGAGGGCUUGUGGGCCCCUUAGGAGUCCCCUAACCCUACUCUUUGGCCUAUAAAUUCAUAAAUAUUCCAGAAACCCUAGAGGCAUCCAUGAAAAUACUUUUCCACCACCACAGGUCUCUGUUCCAGUGAGAUCCCAUCUUGGGGCCUUUUCCGGUACUCCGCCAGAGGGGGAUUCGAUCAUGGAGGGCCUCUACAUCAACCCUAUCGCCCUACCGAUGAUGCGUGAGUAGUUUACCACAGACCUACGGGUCCAUAGCUAGUAGCUAGAUGGCUUCUUCUCUCUCUUUGAUCUUCAAUACAAUGUUCUCCUUGAUUUUUUGGAGAUCUAUUCAAUGUAAUAUUCUUUUGCGGUGCGUUUGUCGAGAUCCGAUGAAUUGUGGAUUUAUCAUCAGAUUAUCUACGAAUAUUAUUUGAGUCUUCUCUCGAUUCUUAUAUGCGUGAUUUGAUAUCUUUGUAUUUCUCUUCGAACUAUCGGUUUGGUUUGGCCAACUAGAUUGGUUUUUCUUGCAAUGGGAGAGGUGCUUAGUUUUGGGUUCAAUCUUGCGAUGUCCUCACCCAGUGACAUAGUAGGGGUAGCGAGGCACGUAUUGUAUUGUUGCCAUCAAGGAUAAAAAGAUGGGGUUUACGUCAUAUUGCUUGAGUUUAUCCCUCUACAUCAUGGCCUCUUGCUUAAAGCGUUACUCUGUUCUUAUGAACUUAAUACCCUAGAUGCAUGCUGGAUAACGGUUGAUGUGUGGAGUAAUAGUAGUAGAAGCAGGCAGGAGUCGGUCUACUUGUCACAGACGUGAUGCCUAUAUUCAUGAUCAUUGCCUUAGUUAUCAUCAUAACUUUACACUUUUCUAUCGAUUGCUCGACGGUAAUUUGUUUACCCACCGUAUGUUUUCUUUCAAGAGAGAAGCCUCUAGUGAAACCUAUGGCCCCCGGGUCUAUUUUCCAUCAUAUAUUUUCAGAUCUAUAAAACCAAAAACACAAAAAUACCUCACUGAGUUUUAUUUACUUUUAUUUGUUUUAUAUCUCUCUAUUAGAUCUCACUCUUGUUCGUGACCGUGAAGGGAUUGACAACCCCUUUUUUGAGUUGUGUGCAAGUGUUUGUUAGUUUGUGUAGGUGCAUAGAUUGGAGACUUGCUUGUGCCUCCUACUGGAUUGAUACCUUGGUUCUCAACUGAGGGAAAUACUUAUCUCUACUUUGCUGCAUCACCCUUUCCUCUUCAAGGGAAAAAUCAACGCAAGCUCAAGAAGUAGCAGGAAGAAUUUUUGGCGCCGUUACCGGGGAGGUUCUACAUCAAGCCUACCAAGUACUUGUCAUAAACUCUCAUCUCUUGCACUUACAUUAUUUGCCAUUUGCCUCUCGUUUUCAUCUCCCCCACUUCUAAAACGUUUUUAGAAAAAUACAAAAAUAUUUGCCUUUUUAUUUGCCCUCUUUCUUUAGACCUUUUUCUCUCGCUUGCAUACUUCUCACCAUUAGUGACUUCGGUAUGGCAGAACCGGAUGAAGAAAGGACUCCUAACAUUGGAGCUCCUGUUAAUCUGGAUUCUAAAACUUUUGUCGUGUGACAAGGGAACGUUAUGGGAAAGGGUGCCAUCCAAUAUUUCUUUAAUUACAUUGGGGCUUUGCCUCGUGAUAAUGCUCCUAUACUCAAGAGAACCAAAACUUAUGCGGAGGCUAUUUCCGCACUUGUUCUUCAACUUGAGAAGAGAUAUAUUCGCACCCAUCCCACUUUGCAAAUAUUAUUUUAUGAAUUUCUGGUCAUAAAGGACCCUCGAGCUAAAAAGAUAGUUGCACUUGUCCUAAUGGAUGAAUUUGAUUACAUAAUACAAGAGGCUAGAGAAAUCUUUGAUUUUUAUGGUAUGAAUCGUGAAAAAACGGUUAUAGAUGAGAUCCUUUACAAUAGCGACUAUUUGUUGAGACAUUUGCUUGGCAAUAAUCAAAUCUUUGAUGAAAAUCUAAAAAAGCAGAUUCCCAUUUUAGACAUGAUCCAACAAGUUUUCAAUAAUGUGAACCAACAAUAUUCGUGGAUCGUAGCCGGUAACUGAAAAGGAUUUGCAGAGGGCCAACUUGAGAAUGCCAAGGUUUCUAUGGAUGAUGUGUUUCAAGUUAGAUUUGGAAAACCUAAUGACAAGAUCACAUCUAUGGAAUUUUUUGUCAAAGAUGACAAUACCUAGAUCGUUGCUUUAUGCCUAGCUAGGGGCGUUAAACAAUAGCGCUUGUUGGGAGGCAACCCAAUUUUAUUUUUGUUAUUACUUUUUUGUUCCUGUUUUUGAAUAAACAUAUCAUCUAGCCUCUGGUUAGAUGUGUUUUCAUGUUUUAAUUUAGUGCUUGUGCCAAGUAAGACCUUUGGGAUAGUUUGGAAGAUUGUUGAUUUGAUUUUGCUGAAAAAUAGAAACUUUUGCGUCCAGCAGCAGAAUUUUGAUAAUUCACAGGAACGUGAUCUGGUUCUGAAUUUCUGACACAAGAUUGAUAUACAAAUUUCCCACGUUUUCCUAAUUUUUCAGAAUUUUUGGAGUCACAGAAGUAUAUGAAGUUUCCUGAUUACUAUAGACUGUUCUGUUUUAGACAGAUUCUGUUUUCAUUGUGUUGUUUGCUUAUUUUGAUGAACCUAUGGGUAGAAUCGGGGGGUAUGAACCAUGGAGAAGUUGGAAUACAGUAGAUAUUACACAAAUAUAAAAUUAGAAUGAGUUCACAACAGUACCUAAAGGUGGUGAUUUGCUUUAUUAUACUAACGGAUGUCACGAGUUUUCUGUUGAGUUUUGUGUUGUGAAGUUUUCAAGUUUUGGGUAAAGAUUUGAUAGACUACAAAAUAAGGAGUGGCAAGAGCCUAAGCUUGGGGAUGCAUAAGGCACCCCAAGGUAAUAUUCAAGGACAACCAAGCAUUUAAGCUUGGGGAUGCCCCGGAUGGCAUCCCCUCUUUUGUCUUCAAUCCAUCGGUAAAUUUACUUGAGGCUAUAUUUUUAUUCACUACAUGAUAUGUGUUUUGCUUGGAGCAUCUUGCAUGAUUUGAGUCUUUGCUUUUUAGUUUGCCACAAUCAUCCUUGCUGUACACACCUUUUGAGAGGGACACACAUUAAUCGUGAAUUUAUUAGAAUACUCUUUGUGCUUCACUUAUAUCUUUUGAGCUAGGGUAGUUGCUCUAGUGCUUCACUUAUAUAUUUUUGAGCACGGUGGUGAUGUUCUUUUGAAGAAAUUGAUGAACUCUCAUGCUUCACUUAUAUUAUUUUGAGAGUCUCUAAACAGCAUGGUAAUUUGCUUGGGUUAUGAAUUUAGUCCUAUUAUGAUAGGCAUCCAAGGGGGAUAUAAUAAAAACUCUCAUAAAGAGCAUUGAAUAUAUGAGAAGUUUGAUUCCUUGCAAUUGUUUUGAGAUAUGAAGAUGGUGAUAUUAGAGUCAUGCUAGUAGUGAAUUUUGGAAUUAAGGACAUACUUGUGUUAUGGUUUGUGAUUCCUGUAGCAUGCACGUAUGGUCUUCUAGUUAUGUGAUGAAGUUGGAGCGCAAUUUAUUCUUGAUUGUCUUCCUUUGUGUGAAAGUCAGGAGUGCGCGAUGGUUAACUCCUACCAACCUCUUCCCUAGGAGCAUGCGUAGUAGUACUUUGCUUCGAGGGCUAAUAUUUUUUUUGCAAUAAAGUAUGUGAGUUCUUUUAUGACUAAUGUUGAGUCCAUGGAUUAUAAGCACUCUCACCCUUCCACCUUCGCUAGCCACUCUAGUACCGCGCAACUUUCGCCGGUACAUUAAACCCACCUUAUACCCUUCCUCAAAACACCCACCAUACCUACCUAUUAUGGCAUUUUCAUGGUCAUUCCGAGAUAUAUUGCCAUGUAACUCCACCGUUCCGUCAUUAUGAGUUUGAGUUUACCUUGAGUUGUAAUUUUGAGUUAUAAGUAAAUAAAAGUGUGAUGAUCAUCAUUAUAGAACAUUGUCCCAUGUGAGGUUAUAAAAAAAGAAACGAGAGAGGCCAAAAGAGUCUCCAAAAAAAGAGAAAAAGAGUCUCCAAACAAAGGGUGAGGAGUCUCCAAAAAAAGAGAGAAAAAAGAGAGAAGGGACAAUGUUACUAUCGUUUUCCACACUUGUGCUUCAAAGUAGCACAAUGUUCUUCAUGAUAGAGAGUCUCCUAUUUUGACACUUUCAUAUAUUACUAGUGGGAAAUUUUUGUUAUAGAACUUGGCUAUAUUCCAACAAUGGGCUUCCUCAAAUGCCCUAGGUCUUCAUGAGCAAGCAAGUUGGAUGGACACCCACUUAGUUUUCUUUUGAGCUUUCAUACACUUAGGGCGUGUUUGGUUGCCAAGGCAGCUUUUGCCUGCACCGUAUGGCGGAUCCUGGCUGAGCGUGGCCUGGACGAACUGCUGCAAGGAUUAGCCGAGAUGACUGUUUGGUGAACUUGUAUGAUAUGGUUGUAUGAGCUACUGGUUCUUCUAAAUGGGGCUGAAAUCAGUGAGGAACAGGAAGCAUGCACUAGGGCGAAGCAGAACGGGAAGCAGCACAGGGAAGCAGCUUGGAGGUGGGCGUGAGGGCCGGUGGUGGAGUAUGUGGAGGCGGAGCUCACCUCACCACGCUUGGCGGCGGUGAGUAAGAUGGAGAGCCUGGAGGUGGGCGUGAGGGCCGACGGCGGACGGAGAGUGGCAGCGGUGUCGGUGCAUCGCGGGGAGGAGCAUGGGCGGGAUGUGCGCUGUGGUGAGCAGUGUGUCUGUGGGUCGGAGAGUAGCGCGGCGGCCGAGGAUAAGAGCGGACGAGCACGGUUAGCAUCAGGGGAUGUGGGGAAGGGCGGGGCGGCGCUUGAUGGAGGGCGACGACGGCUCUUGAUGUAGGGCGACGGCGGCGCUUGAUGGAAGGCGAACGGAGAUGGCGGCGGUGCUUGAUGAGAUUCUCUAACGAAUAUGUUUGGAGCCGCCGGGGCGCAUGGUAGCGAAGGGAUGGGAAGGGAGAGGAAAAAAGGCAACGAUCGAGCCUGCAGGCGAGGUACAUAGGAAACCUGCGUUUCCGCUCAGCCUGGUUGCGAGACACUUUCUGCAUCCGUCGGGCUAGGCCCAGUUAGACAUGCAUGGUACCAAACAUCCGGUAUUUUGCAUCGUGGGUGCGAGCCAGAUGCAACACAAGAAACCAAACACGCCCAUAUAGCUCUAGUGCAUCCGUUACAUGGCAAUCCCUACUCACUCACAUUGAUAUCAAUUGAUGGACAUCUCCGUUGUCCAUUGAUUUUCCUAGUUGAUGUGAGACUUUCUCCCUUCUUUUGUCUACUACCACCUUUUAUUCCACCUAUAGUGCUAUGUCCAUGGCUCAUGCUCAUGUAUUGCGUGAAGAGUUGAAAAAGCUGAAGCGCGUUAAAAAGUAUGAAACAAUUGCUUGGCUAACACCGGGGUGGUACAUGAUUUAUACUUUGUGUUAAGAAGAGGGAGCAUAACAAGACUAUAUGAUUUUGUAGGGAUAACUUUCUUUAGCCAUGUUCUUUUAUAGUUUCAUGAUUUUGCUUUAUAGUAUGCUUGAAGUAUUGUUAUUUUUAUGUCAAUAUUGAACUUUUGUUUUGAAUCAUAUGGAUUCAAAUAUUCACGCCAAAUAAAAUAGAUUACAUUGCUAAAUAUGUUGGGUAGCAUUCCACAUCAAAAAUUCUGUUUUUAUCAUUUACCUACUCGACAACGAGCAGGAAUUAAGCUUGGGAAUGCUUGAUACGUCUCCAACGUAUCUAUAAUUUUUUAUUGUUCCAUGCUAUUAUAUUAUCAACUUUGGAUGUUUUAUAUGCAUUAAUAUGUUAUUUUAUAUUAUUUUUGGGACUAACUUAUUAACCUAGUGCCCAAUGCCAGUUUUUUGUUUUUUCCUUGUUUUUGAGUUUCGCAGAAAAUGAAUAUCAAACGGAGUCCAAACGGAAUAAAACUUCCACGAUGAUUUUUCUUGGACCGGAAGACAUCCAGAAGACUUGGAGAUGAAGUCGGAGGAGUCCCGAGGCGACGACAAGCCUCAGGGGCGCGCCCUAGGGGGGCGCCCUGAGGGCUUGUGGGCCCUCGGGAGUCCCCUAACUCUACUAUUUGGCCUAUAAAUUCAGAAAUAUUCCAGAAACCCUGGAGGCAUCCACGAAAGUACUUUUCCACCAGCGCAGGUCUCUGUCCCCAUGAGAUCCCAUCUUGGGGCCUUUUCCGGUACUCCGCUGGAGGGGGAUUCGAUCAGGGAGGGCCUCUACAUCAACCCUAUCGCCCUACCAAUGACGCAUGAGUACUUUACCACAGACCUACGGGUCCAUAGCUAGUAGCUAGAUGGCUUCUUCUCUCUCUUUGAUCUUCAAUACAAUGUUCUCCUCGAUUUUUUUGAGAUCUAUUCGAUGUAAUCUUCUUUUGCGGUGCGUUCGUCGAGAUCCGAUGAAUUGUGGAUUUAUGAUCAGAUUAUCUAUGAAUAUUAUUUGAAUCUUCUCUGAAUUCUUAUAUGUGUGAUUUUAUAUCUUCGUAUUUCUCUUUGAACUAUCGGUUUGGUUUGGCCAACUAGAUUGGUUUUUCUUGCAAUGGGAGAGGUGCUUAGUUUUGGGUUCAAUCUUGCGGUGUCCUCACCCAGUGACAUAGUAGGGGUAGCGAGGCACAUAUUGUAUCGUUGCCAUCAAGGAUAAAAAGAUGGGGUUUACGUCAUAUUGCUUGAGUUUAUCCCUCUACAUCAUGUCAUCUUGCUUAAAGCGUUACUCUGUUCUUAUGAACUCAAUACUCUAGAUGCAUGCUGGAUAGCGGUCGAUGUUGUUGGGGAACGUAGUAAUUUCAAAAAAAAUCCUACGCACACGCAAGAUCAUGGUGAUGCGUAGCAACGAGAGGGGAGAGUGUCGUCCACGUACCCUCGUAUACCGUAAGCGGAAGCGUUAUGACAACGCGGUUGAUGUAGUCGUACGUCUUCACGAUCGACUGAUCCUAGUACCGAACGUACGGCACCUCCGCGAUCUGCACACGUUCAGCUCGGUGACGUCCCACGAACUCAUGAUCCAGUAGAGCUUCGAGGGAGAGCUUCGUCAGCAUGACGGCGUGAUGACGGUGAUGAUGAAGUUACCGACGCAGGGCUUCGCCUAAGCACCGCUACGAUAUGACCGAGGUGGAAUAUAGUGGAGGGGGGCACCGCACACGGCUUGGAACAAUCAACUUGUGUGUUCUAGGGUGCCCCCCUGCCCCCGUAUAUAAAGGAUCAAGGGGGAGGCCGGCCGGCCCUUGGGGCGCGCCAAGGAGGGGGGAGUCCUCCUCCUAGUAGGAGUAGGACUCCCCUUUCCUAGUCCAACUAGGAAGAGGGAAGGGGGAAGGAAAGAGAGGGAGAGGGAGAGGGAAAGAGGGGCCGCCCCCCUCCCCUAGUCCAAUUCGGACUCCACUUGGGGGGGGGCACCUCCUGGGCUGCUGCCCUCUCUCUCCCCUAAGGCCCAAUACUUCCUCGAGGGGUUUCGGUAACCCCUCCGGCACUCCGGUUUUCUCCGAAACCACCCGGAACACUUCCGGUGUCUGAAUAUAGUCGUCCAAUAUAUCAAUCUUUAUGUCUCGACCAUUUCGAGACUCCUCGUCAUGUCCGUGAUCAUAUCCGGGACUCCGAACUAUCUUCGGUACAUCAAAACACAUAAACUCAUAAUACCGAUCGUCACCGAACGUUAAGCGUGCGGACCCUACGGGUUCGAGAACUAUGUAGACAUGACCGAGACAUGUCUCCGGUCAAUAACCAAUAGCAGAACCUGGAUGCUCAUAUUGGUCCCUACAUAUUCUACGAAGAUCUUUAUCGGUCAAACCGCAUAACUACAUACGUUGUUCCCUUUGUCAUCGGUAUGUUACUUGCCUGAGAUCCGAUCGUCGAUAUCUCAAUACCUAGCUCAACCUCGUUACCGGCAAGUCUCUUUACUCGUUCCGUAAUGCAUCAUCCCGCAACUAACUCAUUAGUCACAUUGCUUGCAAGGCUUAUAGUGAUGUGCAUUACCGAGAGGGCCCGGAGAUACCUCUCCGACAAUCGGAGUGACAAAUCCUACUCUCGAUCUAUGCCAACUCAACAAGUACCAUCGGAGACACCUGUAGAGCACCUUUAUAAUCACCCAGUUACGUGUGAUGUUUGGUAGCACACAAAGUGUUCCUCCGGUAAUCGGGAGUUGCAUAAUCUCACAGUCAUAGGAACAUGUAUAAGUCAUGGAGAAAGCAAUAGCAGUAAACUAAAACGAUCAAGUGCUAAGCUAACGGAAUGGGUCAAGUCAAUCACAUCAUUCUCCUAAUGAUGUGAUCCCGUUUAUCAAAUGACAACUCAUGUCUAUGGUUAGGAAACUUAACCAUCUUUGAUCAACGAGCUAGUCAAGUAGAGGCAUACUAGUGACACUCUGUUUGUCUAUGUAUUCACACAUGUAUUAUGUUUCCGGUUAAUAUAAUUCUAGCAUGAAUAAUAAACAUUUAUCAUGAAAUAAGGAAAUAAAUAAUAACUUUAUUAUUGCCUCUAGGGCAUAUUUCCUUCAAAUGUGUGGAGUAAUAGUAGUAGAUGCAGGCAGGAGUCGGUCUACUUGUCACGGACGUGAUGCCUAUAUUCAUGAUCAUUGCCUUAUAUAUCAUCAUAACUUUGCGCUUUUCUAUCGAUUGCUCGACAGUAAUUUGUUUACCCACUGUAUGUUUUCUUUCAAGAGAGAAGCCUCUCGUGAAACCUAUGGCCCCCGGGUCUAUUUUUCAUCAUAUAUUUUUAGAUCUAUAAAACCAAAAACAUAAAAAUACCUCGCUGAGUUUUAUUUACUUUUAUUUGUUUUAUAUCUCUCUAUUAGAUCUCACUCUUGUUCGUGACCGUGAAGGGAUUAACAACCCCUUUUUCGCGUUGUGUGCAAGUGUUUGUUAGUUUGUGCAGGUGCAUAGAUUGGAGACUUGCUUGUGCCUCCUACUGGAUUGAUACCUUGGUUCUCAACUGGGGGAAUACUUAUCUCUACUUUGCUGCAUCAUCCUUUCCUCUUCAAGGAAAAAAUCAACGCAAGCUCAAAAAGUAGCAGAUAGCGGUCGAUGUGUGGAGUAAUAGUAGUAGAUGCAGAAUCAUUUUAGUCUACUAAUCUUGGACAUGAUGCCUAUAUAAUGAUCAUUGUCUGGAUAUCGUCAUAACUAUUUGAUCUUCUAUCAAUUGUUCAGUAAUUUGUUUACCCACUGUAUGCUAUUUUCUUGAGAGAGGCCACUAGUGAAAUCUACGGCCCCCGGGUCUAUCUUUUAUCAUAUUGCUUCUCGAUCUAUUUUUAUUCACUUUUAUUUUCAGAUCUAUUAUUCCAAAAACCCAAAAAUACCUUGCUGCACUUUUUCUUUCUUUAUUUUAUUUUGUGUUAUUGUGAGAUCUAUUUAUCCAAAAUCAUACAAACCAAUCUAUCUUUUGCCCGAGGAGGGAUUGACAACCCUUCUUAUGCGUCGGGUUGCAGGUAUUUGUUCUUUGUGUGCAGGUACCGUUUACAUAGCUUGGCCUGGCCUCCUACCUGGAUUGAAACCUUGGUUUCAUAACUGAGGGAAAUACCUACCGUAGUUGUACUGCAUCAUCCCUUCCUCUUUGGGGAAAUACCGACGCAGUUUCAAGCGACAUCACCCCCCCCCACACACACACACACAUUUAGGUUAUGGCAACGAUAAUUAAGGGUCAGCCCAUGGACGCAACUAAUGGUCGGUUCUCCGUUACUCAUUGACAAUUGCAAAAGGGAAAGAUGAGAGUAUUUUUUUUAGAUUCAAGAUGAGAGGAUAUUAUUGUCACCUCUUUACCUCCACAUACGUACCUUUACAACGACGGUAAUACGUUCCAUGGCAAAAAUGUUGAGUGGGGGCCUUACACAACAUUCAUGAAGGUUAUUAAUUCAAACAUUCAGACGAGGAUUUCAUAUCCUAUCGUUGUUCAACACCUGAACAUACUAGGGUUCCUCCAUAUGCCCGAGAACUAGGGAAUUACUCAUACAUAGAAACAACUAGCAUUGAAUGGAUAACUGUGGUGAUCAUGAACAAUAUAUCAAAGUAAUACACACAAUAAUCCACUAGGGUUCAAUAUUACAAAAAGAUGAACAUGGGGAUGGUGGUGUCGAUGGUUGAUGUGGGAGUCUCCUUGAAUGAAGUGACGGUGUGACGGAGCCCUUCUUGUCGAUUUCCCCUCUGAAUCCCUUCUGGAGGCUAGGGUUCUUCGAUGAUGGAAUUUCUGGCAUCACGGUAUCUUCUCCUCUUGACGAAGACGCAAGGGCAAUGUAGUUGACCAGGUGGAGCGGCGGCUACUGGUACAAGCGUUCACGCUCGUACGAGACAUUGUCUUCUUCUCUAGAUCCUCCUGUGCGCCGGGUUUUCUUCCUGUGUUGAUGAUGGCCUCAUAUGGUAGGUUCCUAUCACAUAAAUUGACGUAAUUUUUACCUCAUAUUCUUGGGCUUUCCUACUUAUGCCUCAAAAAUCCUUAUGGUUGAGAUCCUGGUGAAAAUAGACAAAAAGACGUGUGUGGCCGCGGUAAAAUUCUGGCAAAACCUUUGAUUACGACACAAAACACAAGAUAAAAUAGUGGUAAGAAGCUGGACUCAUUAGUUGUCCCUCCCACCAUGAGAGCAUCACGAUCGCCGCUCCCGCUCGAUCUCGAGGCAUCACAUGUCGUCGCUCAUGACAACGUUGCCCCUGGUUUGCAACGAUAAGGGGCCGAGGUGGUCGCCAUUGUAGCACCCAACAACGCCCCUUGUCGAAUCGACGUGUCUAACGGUAGGCCUUGUAGCACCUCCCAAGCCCAUAAUUGUUCUUCCAGGACGUAGAACGCUAUCCAGGUUCUUGUUCUUGAAUUGAGGGGUUGGUAAUUCUUCUUCUAAACCAAGUUGGCACUAGAAUUUCCCUCUCCUUCUCUUCCACAUCAAGAGUGCCACUAAGAUUGAUGACAAUAAAUUCCUGUCUCUUGUGCUUCAGAGAGGGAGAAAAAUUCCUCCAUGAAGGAGAAAGCUUGGCAAUGACGCCUCUGGUAAUGAACUUGUCCGACGACAUACAAUUGGAAUGCUCAAGUUACUUAGUGAGUGACUGAAUUUCAUGAGCCUGCUCAAUCACGAAGCGGUCAUCCAUCAUUUUGUUGGUUAGGAGAACGAGAAAACGAGUCAUGUUGGUCGAGUUGUCGAAGAUUGAUGAAGGUGGCAUUGGUGACAAACUGAGGACAAAAGGGCGGAGGCCGUAGAGAUGGUUAGAGGGAGGCGAGGGGGCAAUAGUGCACUGUAGACAUGAAGAACAACAAACUAGAAAAUAAGAUAGAAGAGAGCUUAUAUACAUGUACAAUAUGUACUCUUUCUUGAACCUUGACGUAGCACUCCAGAAAUUCAUUUGCCAUGGUAAAGGAAACAGUAAACUGUUGCUUACUCAUCACUCAGAGAAGGAGUCCUACCCUAACUAACAACAGUCCUAUUCGGAGGUGAAACUCCGUUUACAAAGGAUGUAGAUAAACCAAUUCUUUUUCCAAAUAACAUUAUAAAAAAAUAAAAGAAAAACAAGGCACCAACCCAACCCCACCCGGCCACGGGAUGCCUGAUGAUUGGUGGACGCCAAUAAUACCCUGCUCUUUCCCCUCUCUUCUUCCUCCUCCGGCCUCCCUGUCGCUCCGCCCCAUCCAUCCGCGCCUCCAAAUAAAGUAAGCGCGGCCACCCACACCACCGAAUCCUCCUCCGCCUCGCAAUCCGCCCUCGCCCUCCCGCCACCGCCGCCCCUCUCCUCGACCAUCCAUCCCUUCCUCUUCGCGGAGGAGAGGGAGCACGCCGCGCGCGGCCGCCAUGGGGUUCUGGGAGGCCUUCCUCAACUGGCUCCGCAGGUAUGGUUCCACAAGCGUAUGCCUUCGGUGGGCGGGUUCAGAUUCUCGAGUUUGACGCGCUGCGCAUUGCGGGACGGGCGCGGGGGUCCGCGUGCGGGAGAUCUGAGAAUUCCGGGCCGGUCUAGGAUUAGCAUGCCUUGGCUGCUCGCUGGAUCGGAUGCUUGCUGGGGCAGGUUGAGCGAUAUUCGUGCUACCGUAUAUUUCGUAGGAAGUUGGUUUUGAUGGUUGGCACUUGACAGGAAGCUUUGACCUGUAUGAAGGUGAUGCUGGUUAGCAGCAGCAUGGUGUUAUUUGAUUUUCUCAUCUAACAGUGCCGGUAAUCAUAAGGAAAGUUGUUCCUUCUGGUUAUUUUACGUGAGCCAAGUUCAGAUUAUGGAGUCCUGUGGCUUCGAGGCGUGCUUUGUGGUAUCUUUGUAUGGCGGAACUUCACGCGAUCGACUACACAUGGCGAUCACAUUAUUGAUUGAACAUGUCGAUCGAACUAUUUAAUUGUGUAUGCCUGCCUAUCGAUAGGAGAGAUGAAGGGACACGGAAUUCGUUCUUAUCAUUUUUGUGAAGGGGUCUAUUUAUCCCCUGCUAACAUCGCCUAGGGUGAGAAGUCGUAUGGCAUUUUCUCAUGAUAGCUAUGGUCAAUAUUUUUUGUUAUCCUGUUUUCUUGUGGACUCUUAUCUUGUCAAGAGAGAAAAAAAGCCAUUUCCAAUAUGCAUUAAUUAAUGAACUUGCCUGUUCCGCUCAAUGAACUCUUAAGAAAUCUGGUUCCACCUGUAAGUGACACGUAGUAAAUUCUACUCGUUAUGUUGUUAUGUUGACUAUAAGAUAGGGCUACCACACAUACCACGCAACGUUCAUCCUCGUGAUAAACUUCCUUAAAUGUUUAGUUUGUGAUAAUUUGUCAAUGCAUACCAUUAAAUUUUUCAUAGUAGAAUUAGCCCAAUGUCAGCAAUGCUUCUCUUAGAAUCUAAUCAUUGGAAUGAAAAUGAGUUGCCAGUGGGCUGUAUGCUAUGAUUUGUUUCAUUUCUACCUACCAGCCAGAUAGGCUUUGCUUCUUACACAUAUAUAAACAAGGGGCUUUGGUUCAAAAGGAUCUCUUACACAUGCCAUCAUUAAGUGGCAGAGCACAGUUUUGACUUGUGUACCAAGAAAAUAAAUGCACAGACGUAAUUAGUUACUCAUAUUUUCUUCAUUGGAGCUUGAUUCAAGUAUUUACCCUUUUUUUUGCGUGUCUACAGCCUCUUUUUCAAGCAAGAAAUGGAGCUUUCAUUGAUUGGGCUCCAAAAUGCUGGGAAAACUUCGCUUGUGAAUGUUAUUGCUGUAAGUUUCAUGCUUUCUUGUCACUAUUCAUUUCCUGGAGUUGUGCUGAUUUACCAUCGACGGCCUAUUCUGCAGACAGGAGGUUUUAGCGAAGACAUGAUUCCCACAGUAGGAUUCAAUAUGAGAAAGGUAACCAAAGGAAAUGUCACAAUAAAAUUGUGGGAUCUUGGAGGCCAGCCAAGAUUCCGGAGCAUGUGGGAGAGAUACUGCCGUGCUGUUUCUGCUAUUGUGUAUGUUUCUGCGCUGUCUAUUUUAUGAAUUUGCGUAAAGAAAAGCAUUGCUCUUUUACUUACCCGACCAGAUUCUUUGCUGUUAGUUGUUGCACAUGCCUUUUUUCCCCCACAUUUUGUUUGUUUCUUUAUAUGAUUAAUUAUACACAUUGGUUGACGCCUAUAUUGUCCAGAUAAGGCUAUACGGGUAUGGAUACCACGAUAUGUCAAUUUUUCAAAAACACAGAUAUGGGGAUAUGUUUGUAUAUAUAUAAAAUAAUAAAUAAUAAUAAUAUAUAGGAAAUAAUUAUCAUAUGAAUAUAUAUGACAGUUUAGGAAUACUAAUAAAACAUGGAAAAUGCACCAUAAAUAUGAUUCUAGUUUUCUCCAGCCACUGCAACUUCAAUUUGAAGCUGCCGAAGAGUAGGAUCAGUCACAUUUGGGCAUCUGAUCCCCUUCUUGGAUAUCUUGAGUAAAUGUGCUUGAACUCUGUUGUAGCUUCCUCUCUAUUCUUGUGUAUAGAAUACUUACAGUACAUCUGAAUCGGACAUUCCCUCCACCCCAUGCAUCUGCCUCCAUAAUGUCUACAUGAUUCCACAAAGGCCUGUUGCUUAGAUCAUUUGCCAGCACAUCCUAAAAUAGUGUGAGGGCACACGCAACAGUAGACAAUGAGAAGAUAAUUUUUUACAAGCAAGUGCAUAUGGGAUAAAAUCUCAAACUCACCAUGGCUAAGAAAAUGUCGUUCAGAUUUGGUGAGUGGAGUACCGGAGUAGUGGCUGCUAGUCUUCCCUUCUCAAGUGCGGUGCCAGUUAGGGGGAGGGAGCAAUGGAUGCUGUCCUCCUCCUUCCUCAUACGGGCGUUGCUCAGGUCAGGGGGAGGGAGCGGGGAUGGAGGCGCUAAGAUUCGGGGAGGGAUCAUGGCGGCUGCGCUCAGAGGCAGUCGCAGGAUGGUGGUGCUAAUCUGGGCAGGGAGGUUGCUGCGGUGGCGCUCAGAUCUAGGGAUGGGAAUGACGGAGCAAUGCCGGCUGAGUCUCUCCUUCUCUGGUGCGGUGGGCUGGCGGCUGGGUAUUUCCUUCCGUCCGGUGAGCGGCGGUGCUCUAACAAGGGGAGGGAGCAGCGGCGGCUCGGAGCCCGGGUCCAGAGGGAUGAGACGAGAAAAGGGGAGAGGGGAUUGAGGGUAUGGAUGGACACAUGGGUUAGGGUUUUCCUGGUUUUUUCGUGUUCGACAAGUAUCCUGGGGUAUCCCACCAAUGUACGGUUUAGUUUAAUUUUUUGGAUUUGGAAAAGAAAAAUCGGGGGAAUACGUUUCGGUGGGUAUCCAGACGAAUUCUCGUAUCCGGGUGUAUCUAACCCCUGAUACGUCAAUUUCCUGCCGGAUCCGGGUAACGUAGGUCAGUACAGAUAAAUGCACCGCUGAAUUAUAUUAAAUUUAUUUAAUAUAUUUGGUGAAUUGAACUGGUAGACAUCCUAUAGAACUUAAAUAAUUUCAUAUUGACAUUGUAUUGGCAUUCACUCCCAAUAAAGUGUAUCCUGAUUAGUUUGGGUACCUUGGGGCGCAGAUGUUAUGUUAUCAGUGUAAAUUCGUUUUUCCUCAAUUAUCUAGUCUAAACACUUACUAUAAGAAUCUUGUAUCGAUGUCAUAAUUCACUUUAUGGCAAGGAUAAGUGUGGGUUUGACUUGUCUGUGAUUACUAAUUAGUCCUCUCACUUAGACUGGAUCUAGGAUUCCUUGCUUGUUUUUCCUGAUUAUUCUAUUUGCCUAGUAUAUCUAUAUGCUGAAGGCUGUGCAAGCUGGAAGGUCUACUAUUCUGAUUCAUUCCCACUUGACGUAUGAUAGCCAGCUGCAUAACAACUGGAUCGGGUUUUUUAUGUACGCUUGAUCAGUAUUUUCUGUUGGAGGCUUUAACAAACUAUAAGGAAAAAAAAUCUCUGUAUUGCUGAUGAUUUUUGAAACAAUUGCAUCUGCAGGUAUGUUGUUGAUGCAGCAGAUCGGGAGAACAUGGCUAUUGCCAAAAGUGAGCUCCAUGACCUUCUGAGCAAGCCAUCUUUGACCGGUAUCCCAUUACUAGUCAUUGGCAACAAAAUCGACAAGCCUGAAGCUUUCCCUAAGCAAAGUUUCACAGAAUUGAUGUAAGUUCACACAGAAGCUACUAUGAACUGAUGCAAAUUACUCAUCAAUCGAUACCCUAUUUGACGAACCAUAUGCUGCGUUUCAGGGGUCUGAAGGCAAUGACUGAUCGAGAAGUUGCCUGCUUCAUGAUAUCAUGCAAGAACUCAACCAACAUUGAUUCCGUCAUUGACUGGCUCGUGAAGCACUCAAAGAAGAAGAACUGAUCCAAGAUUUGUUGCCUUUGAAGUGCUGCAGAUUCUCUCUCUGUUUUUUGCAUGUUACUUAGCAAUUGGGGCUGUAAAUUAUGUGAGAGGUCUUAAUCAGGAAGGUUAUGUGUUCAUAAUUGAUAAUUGUGUAACCUGUUUUAGCAAUCUGUUGGUUGACUGCAUCUGGCAUUUGGACGCGUGUGCUCUGUUAGGCUGCUACAAAAAGCCUACAACUUACAGAAGCCUUUAGAUGUUGCAUACUUGCUUGGUGAAUUUGAAUCUCUGCAUGGUUUGGGGGGUUUUAUCGGUGAAUCUGAUGAAAUGUUGAAUUCUGUGGGCAAUUGAACGAUGCUAGGCACUUAUUGCACCGAACAUGGGUUGGGUUCCUUAAAUUUCUCUAAAUUUAAGAUAAAUAAAUACAUUUAAGUGUCAGAAAAUUCUGAAAAAUCAUACAGUAUAAAUUUGGAAUCCUUGCAUGCUUGCAGGUUUUUUUAAGAAACAUUUUGUGCUGUGAAAACCCAAAUUUUUUUGCUCGCUUUUCUAAGCAUUAUAAACAUGUUGUAACACAUUUUUUUCGCCAGAAAACAUGUUUUUAAUACCUGACACAAUGCUGACAUUUUCCCAUCAUUUAAAUGUGCUACCUUUUUAUACAUUAUUAUAUAUAGUUUCUUUUCGCCCUCUAUGGGGAUUCGAUUUUUAGUUAACAUUCAAAUCUAAAUCUGGGCAUCUGUCAAAACUAUAUGAAUCACACGUCUUCCAAAUUCGAAGGAAAAGGAAAUUUCCUUUUGAACUAAUAAUGAAAAGGAAAAGGAAAGUUGUCGCCCCGGGUCAUCCCGAGUUCUGAACCGGAAGCCCAGACGGGCGAGUCCUCUCCUCGGUUCAGCCCCCAAUCGUUCGCAGAGCCAAACAUGGCGGCGUCGCUCUCCAAAACCCUCGGCCUCCGGCUGCGCGGCAGCGGCGGGCACCGCCUCCUCCCCUCCCGUCCCUCCACUUCCCACGCGCCCCAGCCACCACCUCCGCCCGCCGCCGCCCCGCCGCCCCCAGGUCUCGGCCCGUACCGCCCCGCGAAAUGUCUCGCAGAGCAUAUUCGAAGUCAAGCCGCCGCCGCCGCCGCAUUCUAACCAGAUUUGUUUCCUCCCGCAGGAGCAGGGAAGGAAGCGGGCGCGUGGGCGAAGCUCUUCCUCUUCGCCCCCGGCGCCAUCACCUUCGGCCUCGGCACAUGGCAGCUCUUCCGGCGGCAGGAGAAGGUCAUACCCCUCCUUAGGCUGGCCGUUUGGCGCACGCUUAACGCUUGUGAAAUCCUCACUCUGUGCUGUUUCCUGCGCCAUCUCAGGUAGAGAUGCUGGAGUACAGGACGCGGAGGCUGGAGAUGGAGCCCGUGGCGUGGAACGAGACCGUCUCCUCUGCUGUCUCGCGUGAUCCGGCUGUGCUGGAGUUUCGGAAGAUCGUGUGUGAGGGCGAUUUCCACACGGAGAAGUCAGUCUUCCUCGGGCCUCGCUCCCGGAGCAUCUCCGGUGUGACAGAAAAUGGGUAUUAUGUGAUCACUCCGUUGAUACCUCGGCCGACUGAGCCUGGCAGGUAAAUUAUUGUUUGAAGCAGCAUUGUGCUGUUGCAAUGGAACUCUAGUUUCUUCACAGUUCACAUUGUCCAUUUCCUUUGAGCCGACGUCUUAAAUUAGUCCUACACUUCCACUUGAACAAAAAGCCAUUUCCAGUUUUACCGUAGUCAGGUUUAGAAUCUGAUUACCAUUACGCCUAUCAUAUCCUAACGCAAUACAAGGUAUCAAACACAUCAAGGUAUCAAAACACAACCUGAACUCUAGUUGUCAGUAGUUUUCAUGCUUCUUUGUUCUAAAUUGACUUCUUUUUGUACCCCUGCACAUGUUAUCUUUGGGAAAAGAUAAAAUCAGCAGAGAAAGCAUGAACUACAUAGUGAAAUUAACCGCUAUGUACAUAUUGGGUUCUGCAUAUUUGUAGUUUUGUUGCCUAGAAGUGAAGCAUUAGAUCUUUGUCUUGUAACUCCUCCUAGCUGUUCUCCUGAACAAGUUUUUGUUAGUAAUCCAUGAGGAAAGGACCUCUAGUUUCAAAAGGAGAGCAAAAAAGUAAAAGACUAGAAGACGAAAGCAAUUCUGUAUGAAAGUUCCUAUACUUCCACAUAUUGUGGAUAACCCAUUUACUAAUUAUUAAUAAGAAAGCUAUAUACGAGUCUAUUAAAGGACCAACCCUAGUUGUUAAACUGUACUUCAAAAUACUAAAGGAGCCUUCACUUGAGCGUUCGCUUCUGCCAAAUAUAUCUACCUAUAUCCAUGCUAGGUUCAGUGCCUGCAGAGUUUUGAGCAACCAAGCUGCAAUCUCAUUACCUCAGACUGGUUGGGCUUUGUCUCCGCAAAUCAUGAUCACAACGAAUAAUAAUUAAUUGAUGUUAUGCUGAAUGUGUUGACCAUAGAAAUAAACCCUAAUGUCUCACCACUUCCCAUUUUAUCUAAAACUUUUUGUUUCUAAGAAAUGUUUUGUCAGUUUGCAGUCACCCAUCCUUGUGAAUAGAGGGUGGAUUCCUCGUGCUUGGCGUGAUAAAAACAUGCAGGAUCACCAGGACCUUGGUGAAACUUUAGAUGUGAAAGAGGCUGAUAAAAAGACAGAUGAAAAAGGUACUUGGUGGAAAUUUUGGUCUAAGAAGCCUGAAUCUUCUCCAGAGGUGAUUUACAGCCCGAACCAAACGUAUGCAUAUCAAUAGUUUGCUCAUCUGAUCAGGCUAUCAUGUGUUUUUUUUACAUAUUGUUGAUAUUUUGUGAGUGCGAUGGUUCUUGAACUCUCUAAAUGAUGACACUGCUGCAGCCCAUUAAAGGAUAACUUCUAUGUAUAAUUGUUAACUUAACCUGCUUUUAAUCUUACAAAUGCAGUUAUUGAUGGUUGCUAGAAUAUUUAGUAUGUAAGUGAGCUGGUUGUUGGGUCUUAUGUCAGUUUUGAGCCAAUACAUGCUGCCACGCUUGUACACAUAUAAAAACCACCAUGGUAUUCAUUACUCCUUCCGGUCCAUAAUAAGUGUCGCAGUUUUGAACUAAGGUUGAACUAACCUUAGAUAAAAACUGUGACACUUAUUUUGGAUCGGAGGGAGUAUCUUAUUUUAUAUAUUUAGGAAUUUCAUUUAUUUAUAUCAUCAUUAUCUUAUACGAUGUACUAUACCCUUUACUUGGCAGACACAAAAUUGAUGCAUCUUACUUUGUACAGAUUGAAAAACCUGUAAAGCCUCCUGUAAGAGUUAUUGGAGUAAUCCGAGGAAGUGAGAAGCCCAGCAUAUUUGUUCCACCUAAUGAACCCAGUAAUGGCCAGUGGUUUUACGUGGAUGUUCCCAUGAUUGCACGUGCAUGUGGCCUCCCUGAGAACACUGUCUAUAUAGAAGAUAUGAAUGAAGACAUCUCUGCAAGUAAUCCUUAUCCUCUUCCAAAAGAUGCCAAUGCUUUGAUUCAUCACUCGGUGAUGCCUGAUGACCAUCUGAAAUACACCUUUACAUGGUAAGUGCCCCCAAUUCAUCAACCUUGUCUCCAGUUGGGUAUACAGAAUAUAUAAUAGUAUUUUCAUGUGUCAUCUAAUCAGGGAUAUUGUAUUAUACCAUUUUGUGUCAGUUAUAUGUUUGUGCUGCUGUCACUAGAACCUAGAAGUAUUGUGCUUCUCAUAGAAAAUUCGAGGGCAGUUUCUGGCUGUAUCCGACAUACACAAUUGCUUUGAGGUUUAUUGCAGCUACAAAUCAAAUUGCUGUUAUUAUCUGAUGACUUGAGUUUGAAGUUCAGUACCAUACCAUGAUAGUUUGACAGUUCAGUACCAUACCCAGAACGACUCAUCGACUCGAAAACCAUGGUCUAAGCACAUAUGGGCUGAACAUGCAAAACUCAGUUUUCUUUUCUUCUCUGACUUAAUUGCUUAUCCAUAGCAGGGGUGAAAAGAUUAUUAGUAAGCUAUGCACCUCUAGUACAGUAGUACUCGAAUGAUGAGUUGGUAUCUUGCCAUAUUGCUUGGAUGAAUCUAGCUUGUAUCAUGCAUCUGGCAAUCGUCUUUGGAGUCGACAACGUUGCAUGUGGUACUUGCAGCCAUAGCAUAAUGCUGGUGUGCCAACUUACAGCAUUAUGGGAUGUUCUAUCAUGAUCUAACAUUUUGACUGAAGCACUAGGAUCUAGGUUACAUCUACCAAAUGGAAUUACUGUAGGAAAAGCAUGUGUUGGAGAAAUAAGAGAAUAACAUUAGUGCACAGACUAUUUUGCUCAUCGCCAUUCAUUAUUCUUAAUUAUGCUGUUGAUGGUGGCUGUCAUGUGACCACUUUUAUCUUUUGCUAUUACUAGGUACACUCUUUCUGCUGCUGUGACUUACAUGGCCGCAAAGCGGAUAAAGGCAAAGAAGGUGAGGCUAUAGCAGGAGUGCAGGACCGAAAUCCAAUAAAGCCUUUCCUCCAUCGUGUACCUAUUUUAUGAAGCUCAAAUUCAUGCUGCUUCAGAAGGAGUGUGCAAGCGUUGCAUCUGUAUUUCAUAUCGGGCAUUGUUUUCGCAUUUCAUAUCGGGCAUUCGCUCAGCUGAGCUCGGAGAAUUACAGAGCUACAAAAGUUUUGUUAGCCUACCAUCCAAGGAGAGGGAGAAGACAUAGCUAACUAUUCCAGUUCUUCGUAGCAUAUGUUUUUUGAAUUGUUUUUUUGGCGACUGUUGCCAGAGACAUUGACGUGCUGGGUUGGCCCAUUUAUAACUUUAAACGACAAGUCAUUUUCCACCACCACCACUCACCAAGACGGCUGCUCCGAGGUCAGCUGAGCAGCAAAGCGAACAGGGUUUGUCCUGUCCCUAUGGGGAAUCAAUCCCCUUCUGAUGGCGCUCUCGCAUCAGAACUUCUGCAGUGCUUUGCCGAAUCCAUGUUCAAACACAGCACAGCUCUUGACUUGAGAACCUAUGGCCCUCUACUCUUCUUCGCCUCCAUCUUUCUUUUUUGGCUGUGAUGCUGUUUUCUCUGCUUGUCUUCUGCAUCUCUUGGCUGCUGGUGGUGUCCCUUUUCCCUCUGCGUCUCCUCCGGCGAUGUUCUUGAAUCAGGCAGGUGUGAAUAGGGCAAUGGUUUUUCUGGUACCCUACAGCCAGCCUACUGGCGUGGUAGUGGUACCAUGUGUCUGGAGAAAGCAGGUCAACAAUGCAUGUGAUGAUGUGAUGGUAGGGUGUAAUUGUAGAAAAAAUAAUUAGAGUGGUACCUUGAGGAGGAGUUGAUGUGAUCAUGGUGGCAGUAGCCUGGCCCUGGCUGCUACCCGUGCACGGUACGCCGUGCAGCUGCUGCUUAAAUGGCCGUCUUUAUCCGCUCGUACAGCCGCGCUAAUCUUAAGAGAGGACGCCCAAUCAAUCGAUCGCCCUUGAACCACCAACCCGUAAACCACCAGUGCCCUGCAAUGACACUCUCUGGUUAGUUCUCGCCAUUUAUUAAUGUACCGCGGUACCGAAGAUCACCCUAAAUGAAAAGGCAAGGACACUGCUCCUAACAAGAAAGAUUCUACUUCCUCACCAGCCAGUCACACCCAGCCACCCCAAGAGAGGAGGACACAUGUUUCUUGGGCUUACAUAGGAUUCUUCCAUCCACGAUUCCCUCCUUGGUACACACCAGCAUACUUGCAUGUUUUGCGAUUCGGCAUGCGUCCCAUGUCGACCAGUAACUCUCAUCUCAUCUCGGAGGAGUGGGAACAAGAGAUCACAUGAUCCGCAGGGCGGCCAUUAUUAUUACCACGGGCUAAAGAACACGCCGAGAGCUUCAGAGAGGCAACAUGGCAGGCCGAGACAAGAUUGCAACUGCAGUGCGAGGGCCGAUCGAGGCCAGUAGAUGUAGAACCCGUCGUCGUCAUCUCCUCACUCGCUCGCUGUCACUUUCCCUGUCUGUCUAUAGUAACACUCUGUACUAGUAGUAGCAGUAGUACCGCUGGCUGGCUGGGUUGGGUUGGUUGUGGCGAGGCGAGAGCAGGGAGACAGGUCUGGAAGGGGUCGAAAAUGUCAAAAGCCUAGCAAUGUAGCCAUCGGAGUUGGAGCCGCUGAAUCAUGGCAGCGAUCGCUGGCACGCUCAGCUUCGCCGGCUUCCUUUGUCAACAAAGCACAGCAGGCACGGCACGCCACGCCUGCUCUGCUCUGCUCUUCCGGGUCCUUCCCUUCCCUUCCCAUGGCAGCGCGGAAAGGAGGCCAUUUAAUACGCUCGUCCUAUGAUCCCAUUCAUUAAUCAAUCUAUCUUCAUUUCGUGUCCAGCCUGGGCAUUAAUUAAAUUAAAAUGCUGGUUUGCUAAUUUGAGGAUGAUUAGUUUGCUGGGCACGCUCCUUUGCUAAUCUGAUGAUGAUUAUUAGUUUACCAUUUCCAUCGACGAGGCCGAGAUAAAUUCACACAGCUUUCGCCUAGAUUUACCUCGGGCAGUCAGUCAGUUUGGACCUCGGGUGUGACGCACCGGGCGGGGCCGGCUGACGUGCAGGGAGGGUACGACUACAGAGGACAAGGCACGGGGGUAAAAUGGUAAAAAGGGCGGGCGGACCCCUCCCUUCUCCUGCCUUCCAACGACACAAGAGAACCGAGAGCCCACCUCCCCUCUCCUCUCCUCUCGGUGUGCAGCGCGGCGCGGCGCGCGCAGAGAGAGAAAGGAAGAGAGACAGACAGAGAGAGAUCCUCCUCGCAUCGCCAUCAUUCUCCAAUCUACCUGCUCUGAUUCAUCUGCGCUCUCGGCCGCCGCCGCCGCCGCCGCCUCUCCCGUCGGUCGCGCCGCGCAGGACGAUCCUCCUCGCCGCAACGCGCGCGCUUCACGGUACGGGCUGCUUCCUCCCUCCCUCCCUCCCGAGUAUCUUCCUCCGUGCCUUCGCUCCCCUGCCGCGCGCCACCUGCUUGACGGUGCGCCGCCUCCGUUUCGUGGGCGUUGUCGAGGUUGGUUACGGGCUUGCGGCUGUGUCUGUUGCCGCUCGUCAGUUUUGCGGGGUGGGGGAAUGGAAGCAGGAUCGGCGCCUUGUGUUGUUUCUCGGGGUGGAAUUCUCGGGUGAAGCUCUGCUCCGUUGCCUAGUUUUUUCACUUGUGGCGAGUGCAUCGGUUGGAUGAAUGCGAGAGUUGGUUGAUUCGAUCAACGAGCGCAUAUGGAGAAUUAUCAUGGGGUUUCAGUUGCUAAUUUGACGUGCGUGUGUGUUCGCGUCUUAUAGAGGUUUAAUUUCACUGUGGACUGCUGCUGCUUUGCUGGCACAAACCACCGCGUUAGUUGUAUUCUUAUCGUAGCAGUGCGGUUCGAGAAAUCAAUCUUACCUACACUUCUCGGGAAUGUGGGAGCGAUUGCUGAAUUUCUGCUUUCGUUUACCGUUCCUUCCCGAAGCAGGAACGUUAUAAGCUGUACUUUGUGGAUUAUGAGGGAACCAGUGUAUGCAGUGCGUAAUGGGUGGUGGCAUUGUUCAGUUGCUGCUAGUAGAAUCUCGGUGUCACUGCGUUCUAGCUGAAAAUGGUGGUGGCAUUGUUCAGUUGCUGCUAGUAAGAUUUCGGUGUCACUACGUUCUAGCUGAAAAUGGUGGUGGCAUUGUUCAGUUGCUGCUGGUAGGAUUUCGGUGUUGCUACGUUCUAGCUGAAAAUGGUAGUGGUAUUUGUAGGAGAUUAGGUUCUAGACUAGUGGUCUUUCUGGGAGCUCACAUUUGCAACUGUCUUCCUGAAAUAUUCGUGGGGCUUCCUGUUGGUUUACUCAAUAUUUGCCCUGUUGAUUGCAUGUUUGGUAGAUCCAGUUCGGUAGAAUUGUUCUAUGUCUGUAACUCUGAACAAGCCUUACUGCUAGCUUCAGGAAGUUGCUAGCACUAAACCAUGUAGUUUCUUAUGUUUUCUAAUUCGUUGUGUUUACCCAAGAAGAAAAGAUUAUUCGGAGAAUGAUUUGAUAGUUUGAGCUGGAAAGGGAAUGACUAAGUCUUGCUUCAUGUAGAUUCCAAGAUUUGGAUUGUCUUUGUGUGUUACUUUCAUUUGUAGCUAACUCACUACAUGUUGUGCUCAUGUGUUACACUGGUUUAAUGUGAGAGUUCGUUGCUUCAGCUAAGGAGGGCAUAAGGAGAAUGUCAUUGGGUUCCAGUUGGUACUUUGAUGUGCGUGUGUGUUUAUACAGGUUUAAUUCCACUGUGAGCUGCUGCUUUGCUGGCACCACCAUGUUAGUUGUUUCCUUAUUUUAGCAGUUAGGUUUGCGAAAUCAAUCGUGCCUUCUCUUCUCAGGAUUGUUGGAGGAACUGCUGAAAUUAUUUUCGUUUGCCGCUUCUUCCUGAAGCAGGAACGUUAUGAGUCAGGGAUACUUCAUGGAUUAUGAGGGAACCAGUGCAUGCAAUGCGUGAUGGGUGGUGGCAUUGCUCAGUUGCUGCCAGUAGGAAUUCGGUGUCACUACGUCCUUGCUGACAUUUGUAGGACACGAGGUUUUGGACUCGUGGUCUUCCUGGGAGCUCACAUUUGCAGCUGUCUUCCUCAAGCAUGCAUAUGCCUUCCUGUUGGCUCACUGAAUAUUUGCCCUGCUGAUUACUUGUUUUGUAUAUCCAAUCCUGUACAAUUGUUCUAUGUCUGUAACUCUGAAUGAGGCUUCAAGAAGUUGCUAACACUAAACCAUGCAAUUACCAAUGUUGUGUGAUUCGUCGUGUUUAUCCGAGAAGUGAAACUUUUUCGUAGAUGAUUUGAUAAUUUUAGCUGGAAAGGGAAUUCUUCCUAGCUUCACAUAUAUUUCAAGAUUUAGUUUGUCUUGAUGUGUUACUGUCAUUUGUAGCUAACUUGCUAUAUGCUUGCUCAUGUCAUUAGUUGCCCAACUAGUGCAACCUUAUUACAAUGUGUACUGAGCAUCAUUCAUUUUUUCUUGCCAGGUUCUGUGAUCUACCAUUGGCCUCAGGGAAGAUCCUAAGAGAGAGGAUAACUUACAUUUUUUAAUUCAGGUUAAGUAAAAUUACCCGCGGGGGGCAAAUGGCUGCAAUCAUGUUAUGCACGUGCAGCGGGGACCAAUCGAAGUUUGAAGAGAUGCCCCGAUCACCGGAAUCUCUCGCAACCCGGGAUUUCUCAGCAAGUGGUUCUUGUUCGAGACCAGGAAAACGAGAAGCAACACCUGAUGAUAGCCAAGUGAAUGAAGUGGAAUCGGACUUAAGAGAGACUCUUUCGCUAAAUUAUGAGGUUUGCCUGAAUCCUUCUCUCUUCAAGGAAGAUGAUUACAUUGCUGAUUUGCUCACUGUUGGAUCUAUCUGAUUAUGUAACAGGAGGCCCGGGCAUUGCUGGGUAGACUGGAGUAUCAGAGAGGAAACUUUGAUGCAGCAUUGCAAGUCCUUCAGGGCAUUGAUAUAAGAAGCCUCAAACCACGAAUGACCAGUGCUGUUACUGAAAGUGCCAAGCCUAAAGUUUCUCCACGUUCUUCAAGAAGGAAAACCUCACAAGUGAAUGGAAUGCUAGUGCAUAUGUCAAUGCAUUCUGUAAGUUUGCUUCUGGAAGCCAUAUUGCUUAAAGCGAGAUCUUUGGAAAGACUUGGUAGAGUGACAGGUACUGACUGAAGUUCUUAUCUAUGUGAUUUCUUGCAUUGUACUUUAGCAUCAUCAUCUGAAAUUGCCGUAGUAGUUUUAGAAGCUUUGCCAAAACAAAAGUCUAAUGUAUGAGGGCUUUGUUUCCUAGUAUUUCAUAGGAUUAAACAGAAACAGAAACCUAUGUAAUUGCAUCGGAUAAGGCCAUAUUAUAUUUCUUUGUCCAUCAUACAAGUUAUAUGCAUGUGCCUCAAUUAAAAUCUCUGCAACAUCCAAUCUGAGUUUCUCUUUGAUUUAAUGUUGCCUUUACAUGACAGAUGCUGCAGAAGAAUGCAGAACCAUCAUAGAUAUUGUAGAGUCUGCAUGGCCGGAUGGUGUUCCUGAAGGUACUUCCGAAGACUGUAAGUUGAUAGACAUGUUCCACUCGGCUCUAGAAUAUCUUCCUAACCUAUGGAUGAAAAGUGGUUGUUUUGAGGAGGCCAUAACUGCAUAUCGGAGAGCUCUUUCAAGGCCCUGGAAUUUGGAUUCUCAAAGGUCCGCCAACUUACAAAAAGACUUAGCGGUGACUCUACUGUACUGUGGUAUUGAAGUGAAGUCUCCUCAAGAGUUCAGUCAGCAACGGAACUUGGCAACCCCGGAGAACAACAUCGAGGAAGCAAUUUUGCUGCUGUUUGUACUUAUCAGAAAGCUAACCCUCCAAGAAAUAAAGUGGGAUCCUGAUCUCGUGAACCAUUUGAUGUACGCACUGUCAUUGUCUGGUCAUUAUGAAGUCUUGGCCAGGCAUCUAGAGAUGUUGUUACCUGGAACCUAUAGCAGAUCAGAAAGAUGGUACGUUCUCGCGCUUUGCUACAGUGCAGCUGGCAUGGAUGAUAGUGCCUUAAACAUCAUAAGGAAUGGUUUCCGUGUGUUACAAAGGAAGGGGAAACCUCAUAUUCCAUCUCUUCUUCUAGGAGCCAAACUAUGUUGUAAGAACCCAAAGCAUGCUUCUGAAGGAAUAAAAUUUGCAAAUAAAGCCAGGGAGUCAUUCAGAAGUCAUGAUAUGCAUUUCAUCAGUGCUGUGAAUCAUUUCCUUGGUGUUUGCUAUGGACCUUUUGCUAGGUCAUCCACUUCUCACACAGAAAAAAUGAGAUUGCAAGAUGAUGCACUGAGGCUGUUGCAGGAUGCUGCGGCAACGGCGAAGUAUAAUCCUGAAAUACUGUACAGCCUUGCUUGGGAAAAUGCAAUGCAGCGCAAACUGAAUGCAGCCAUUGAAAGUGCAGCGGAAUGUCUCGAAAUGGUGACAGGAAGUUCAGUGAGUACCUGGAAGCUGUUGAUUCUAGUGUUAUCUGCACAGCAGAAUUUGGAAGAAGCUGAAUCAGUAGCUGAUAUUGCACUAGAUGAGGCUGAGCAAGAGGAUCAAAUGGAUAUUUUGAGGCUAAAAGCACUAAUUCAGUCCUCCCGUGGACAAUUCAAGUCUGCUGUGGAAUCUUUUAGGAUUUUGCUUGCAAUCAUUCAAGCAAAGAAGGAAAUCUGGAAAUUGACCCCUUAUGAUAAGGUACGACCACUUACAUUUCUUACCAAAACUCAAAUGAUGAUAGCAUGUGUCUACUUUCUUUAAUAUCUACUUGGCCUACACAGGUUAAAUCCCUGCAUAAGUUAGAGAUGGAAGCAUGGUUAGAUUUGGCAUCAAUAUACACAAAGCUUGAAGCAUGGAAUGACUCAAACAUCUGUCUUGACAAAGCAAAAUCCAUCGAUUUCUUAUCUCCAAAGUGCUGGCAUGUCAAAGGUAAAUAUUCUUACAACCUUGACUAUGCUGUCGUUUGUGGCUAAUUGUGCUCCACAUGAGGCCUGGUUCUGAUGCUUACCGUCAUUCUAGUAAGUUACAUGCCUAACAUAAAAAAAAUUACUCUGAAUUAGUUAGUAAGCAUUGGAGUUGGUACUUACACCCAUAGCCGGCCUUUACCAAAACUGUGUGUGCCGGCUUUUAACCUCUAAACCUUACCACUCCGAAUAAUAUCAGGACAAAUUAUUUUUGGCCAAAACAACCUCAAGCAAGUACAUACUGUACAGGCUAUAAUCGAACAAGCUAAAGCUAUGAACACCAACUUUGUCAGCCCUCGGAUGUACAUGUUACAUGACGAUCACCAGAUACUUGAUGAUGGUUGAAGUAUUAAUCUAGCUAUGUGCGGAUAUUAAGAUUUCCAAAAGAACAUUGUAUUUAUUUGCUAUCAUCUUCGAGUUCUCUUAAUUAAAUGAUGAGGCAAAUCUUUUGCCUCCGUUUCGAAAAAAUCAUCUUCGAGUUCUGGCUCGGUCAUACAACUGAGGUUGAUAUUACCUGCAUGUGCUUAAGUAAUGGUAUUUGUUUUCACUUGACAUCAAGAAAUUGUCAGCAACAGCAAAGAUGAGUGGACGUUAAGGAGAUUUGAUUUGUCCCUGAAACUCUGUUGGCUUAGUGCUAUAAUUCACUAUCGAUCAAUUAAACGUUGUUUACAUAUUUGCGGGUAACGGACAUAAUGAUAUUGCAUGUCAGGAGCAACUACAAAAAGUAACGGUGAUCCCAGAUAUCUGAAUGGGUAGCCAAAGGCAUGUUUGUGUUAGAUUUGCUAUUGUCAUUUUCAUAUUGUGGAUCAAUUGCUACACUUGCUGUUGUUCAUUCUGCUCUAUGAUUUUCAGAAGCGCUAACAUGUGUGCUUUUCCAGGCCUGAUAUUGGAGGCCCAGUCCUUGCACCAAGAAGCCCUCGAGGCAUUCUCAUUCUCCCUCUCCAUCAAUCCAGACUAUGUCCCUAGCAUGGUUUCUAUGGCAAGCAUUCUAAGAACUCUAGGAGCGAAAUCAUCGUCAAUCGCGAGAACUUUCCUUCGCAGCGCCACCCGCUUAGAGCCAACAAACCAUCAAGCCUGGAUGGGGCUCGGACUCGUCCUGAAAUCUGAAGGAUCGGUGCUUGAGGCCGCUGACUGCUUCCAGGCAGCUUACGAGCUCCUAGAGUUGUCACCUAUUCAGGAUUUCUCCGAGCAACUGCCCAUCUUGCUGCAGUAGGAACUCGUCGCCUUGCCAGAUAUCAAAAAGGAAAAGAAAGUAAACAUUGCCUUGCCAAAUAGCACAGGUUUUGCUCUAGAAAUCUCAUUGCAUCCUUGGCUCUCCAACCAGUAAAUUAUGUGAAUGUAGUAUACCCAUUUUGUUUUGUGGAUGAGCAGUUAUGGUAAAUUAUGUGAGUGUAGGUAUUUCUGUUAAUGUUGCAACUCCCUGUGCUGCACAUUCAGUUUUGUUCUAUUGGAAGAACAUAAAUGAAAGAGAUAUGCUUGGUAGAGCGAGUUUCCAUUGCUCGAAGAAUCUGUUUCCAUCUCACAGGGAAAAGGUUUCCACUACACUAAUGUGAAAAUCUCAGAAAUCAAUGAAAUCCAGUCCUAAAACUAAAAUACCAAACCAUGGUCUCUUUCUAAACGAAAAUAGCAUUCCCGCCAUUAGAUGAAAAUGCCGAUUUUUCUUUUUACAUCACUGCAUCCAUAAAGAUCAGUGCAACCGCCCUCUAUUGGUGCCAACCCUGAUUUUUACUGUUAAAGCAGUAGUUGAUGUAGUAGUGCUUUGGAUUUCAGAUAGGAAUAUCUCCAGGUUUUCUUUGAGGAACAUUUCAUUGGUUUUCUGCACUUAACCCGAAAAGUUUUAAAACGAGACCUGCUCUGUGAAGUGAUGGAAGCAGUGGAGGUUUAGGCUUGGAUCUGUUCAGUUGAGGAAAGGGAGGAAGACGAUCAUGAUAGAUUGGUGAAUGAAGCUAUCCAAGCAAAGGAUAUGCACCACACUGACUGGGGCCGUGGACAAGUGAAGAGAGUGUUUUGUGAUGUCUCCAUCUUACCAGAGUAUACAAUCAGUAUCCCAGUGACGUUUACUUAAUUCUGCAGCAGACUGAAUGCGAACAUUCAUAGCUAGCCACAUAAAGUGCUUCACCUUCAAAGGAGUAAAGAUUUCCACAGAUAUCUACUCCCUCCGUUCUGAAUUACUUGUCUCGGAAAUGGAUGUAUCUAAAACUAAAAUAUGUUGAUACAUCCAUUUCCGCGACAAGUAAUUCCGAACGGAGAGAGUAGCUCUUGAGUCAGUAGUGCCACUUCAUUGAAACUUUGAUUUAUCCAAUUUUCUUCAUUGCAGCUUACCAGUUUGAUCUCUUCAAAAUAACCUGCUGAUGAAACAGCAGUUUGGGAACCCUUGUCACAAUAUAAUACUCCCUCCAUCACGAAUUACUUGUCGCUACAUCAAUUUCUAUCCAUUUUGCGGUAUGUAUAGACAUAUUUGAAGUUCUAGAUACAUCAAUUUCUAUCCAAUUUUGCAGUAAAUAAAUACUUGGUGCUUCUGACGAGUAAAUAUGGAAGCCGCAUGAAAAUACGAGUGUUGACUCAAAGACCGAACGCCAAAUUGGCUGUUUCGAUCCAUGCCCUUUUCCCCUUCACUUUCUGUGCGACUAAUUGGGGGAGCACAUUGCUAAUUUUACUUUCAUGCUCCCCUCCCGUCACUUCUACAAGUAAUUCCAAGACGGAGGGAGUCAUGGCUAGGAGAAGCUGUAGCCAUUACAUACAAGCUGCAAACAUCUCGUAUGCACGCGAACAAAAAGUUGGUACUGAGAUACAGCUAACAAAACAACAGAGCAUAAGUUCCAUUCAAACAUAAAACACACACGGCAGGAAUAAACUAAAUAUUUAGUUUUAAACUCAUAACCUCCAUCCAGAAAGUAACACGAACAAAAUAAGAUAACUGAACGCUGGCUAGGAAUGUCGACAGAAGUACUCAAGAAAUCAGCCAUCAAAACUGACUACAAAGUUCACGACACCCAGGUGGCACAUAUAUCAUCUUCUAGAUAUGAAGCAGCAAAAUAGCGACUUCUAUUUUCUACUCAGCAGCAGCAACCUCCUCCGCUCCAGGAAUCACCUCAUCUCCAUCAGCAGGCCUGUCAAGCUUCACACCAACAUCCUCCUUGUAGUCACCGUGCACCUGGAACAGGCAACAUGGGUCACAUUAGAACUUCAGUAGACUGGAGAACAACAAUUAACACUGCCCAGCUAAAAUAUUUUCAGUAGACAUGGUGGUGCCACAAG